AGUAACUCUCUUUGCAUUUCUAGAGCUGCACCAGACACGGUUCUGUAUGGACUUGGAGUUCGAUAUUUUGCAGCCAGAUGCAGCAUGUUAUUUCCACAGCUAUCUAAAUAGGUUGCCAAAAGCUGCUUAUUGAAGCCUUGCUCGUAGAUUAGAUUGAAUACAUUCAUAUGACGAUUCAAAAUGGCAAUGUGAAAUAUGCUGCGACCAUUUUCAUCUAAUUCAUGAACAAAAUCAGGAUAAGAGCCAAUGAGCUCAGCCAAGAACCGAAAGUUCCCCACUUCAGCUGCAUCGAACAAUAAGUUUGUAGGUUUUCUGAUCACUUCCGCAACAUCCACAUCUUGUUGUCUAUUUAUUUCUUUCCACAGACAUUUGACUAGUUCAAGGGCUUGAUUAUUCAUCAGCUCAAUAUUUCGACUGCACUUCAUUAUUCCUAGGACUAAGGUGAGAAACAAGUGAUUAGGAAUCGAUAGUUAAAAAAAAAAAAAAAAAAAAAAAAAAAAACUACUACUACUAUAUACAUGCGACAUGGGCUCGACCGAGUAACUUUAAAGCAGCUUUCUUUGAUUUACUACUCGAGAAGGUAGUGAGAAAAUAGGGGUAAAUAAUUAAUUUGUUUAAAAAAUAAUUUAAAAAUAAAAAUUACUAUAAGGAGUAUCAACAAAUAGGGUUAAUUACUUGAGUUAAUAAGCCUUUUCAGUAGUCCUCCACCUCUGCCAGCAAAUGGAAAAGGAUUUCGAGCCAACAUAUGCAAGGCCGUUCCAUGUUUCACAUGAUGAGUUAGAGCUAGUUGUCUGUCAUUCUUCAACAAUUUCAACGCCAGAUCUGGCCAAUGCACCCGAAUUAAUUUUAUCCGAAACCCGAAAGUGUAUAUAUAUUGCAAUAUAGAAAAUCUUAUUUAUGCAAUCUCUACGAUUUACUUACACUACAAAUUCCCCAUAAAUUCUAUAAAUAUAUUAAAACUGCAAUCCUUGCUUGACAAAAUUUUGGUUACUAUGAUACCAGCAAUAUAAACAAUGUAACUCGCCAGUGACAGACUAACUUUUUGUUCUUUUAUUGCUAUUUUUAUAUUAUCAGAAUUAAAAACUUUAAAAGGACAAUAUUAGAGAGUUAAACACGACAACGGGAAGGAAUAUAGUUUCCUAACCAUGACUCAUGAGUGGAAAAAUUAAAUUCUUGCAUUAGGUCACUUUUCGCUAAUCAAACAAAUGAAUUAUUAUUCCUUGUCUAUUUCCCUUUAUUUUUUCUCAUUAUCCCCAUCAACUAAAUAUACCCUUUACUCUAAUACCAAGAAUAAUGACAUAGACAUCUCUAAUGUUCAUAAAAAAUAAUAUGAAAUGUGAUGUAGCAUUCAUCGAGUGGUUGAUUAUUUUUUUAAAUUUCAAGUGAAUUUAUUGUGUUAUCUCACCAUCCACUUAAUGAAUGCUAUAUCAUCUGAUAUGAAAUUUUUAAUAAAAUUUAGAAUUUUGGCACUACUCUAACAUAAAUUAUAAAUAAAUAGCUAGGCAGAAAAGUGGGAACAUUAAUAUGAAAGAUAAGUACAUAACAAGGCAGAGGUUAGUGUGGGCUAGGAUAGGCUGGGCUAUAUUUAAAUUUUUUUUGUUAAAGCCACUAAAGUUAUCAGCUAUUACCAAUUUUACCACUAAUAUAUUUACGAAUUUACAAAACCUCACACACAAAUUUGAAUUGUUUUCAAAAUUAGUUCACCUCCCUCUUUUUCAAAUUAUAGCUACUUACACAAUUAUCUUUGAUUUUCAAUUAUUACAAAAUUUAUUAGAGGUUUUGUUAUUGUAAUUUUAGGACCCAACAUCCAUUUUUUUUUUUAAAGUAAGGGGUGGGUAAAACCCAAAUAGUUUUUUUUUUAAAUUUUUCCUCCUUAUUAUCCCAAAGAUCGAGCCAGGGUGGUCAAUGGCUACAAACUUCAUAUUGUUACCGACCCGACCACGCCCUUGGAGGUAGACCCAACAUCCAUUUCCUAAUUUCUUAAUCUUUAUUUUCCUCUUUCUUCUCUCAUGUACACAAAUUUGUAAAAGCCACAGAAUUUAGCAUACAUUUUAAUAUUUUUUACUUUUAGUACUUAAAAAAAAAAAGAAUUAGGGCUUACAUUACAGGAUAUUUUUCAAAUUCAUUCAAAGCUUAAUAUUUAAUGCACUUACUUGAGAGUUUUGUUAUUGUUUUUAUUUUGAUUAUUUCAAUCAUAACUCCCAAAAUCUAUUCAUUUUUAUACUCUAAAGUGUUGUUGAGGGCAACUUUGAUAGCGCUUAAUUAUAUUUGUGUUCUUUAUACAUAUUUUUCUUACAUAUCACAAUGAAAUGUUAUUCGAUUUUUUUUUAGCAAUUUCUUUUAUUCAAAUAUAUGUUAUAAUAAAGACCUUUCGAAAGGAAUAGAAAUUAGAAUAAAGUGAAGUUUCUUUAGCUCAGCCUGAAAAGAAUUUCUGGCUAAAUCUUCUUGAAUUUAUUGUUUUAAUGUCCCGAAACUAAAGCAUAAUGAAAUUGAGGACACUUGUUAUUAAUGUAACUCAUGCACCUAUUAAAACUUGAACUCAACACUUGAACCUUAAAAAAAUGCUACUUACUACCAAAGCUAAAGCUUUACUUCGGCAUGCUAUACAUUUAAAAGAUGGAAAUUUAUCGCUUGAAUAUGUCUUGGUACUUACCGUACAAACCAGUGUCGACACUUGUAAUGAAUAUAACUUUCCGGUCCUCAGUUGGCAGUUCCUUUUCACUUUUAUGGAAUAAAAAUGAUGCUGUAUCCGUUUGUCCAAACAAAGCAGCAAAGUAGAGCGGUGGCAUAUUUUUACUGCCUCGGAUUCCCAGCAGACUCGGAUUCUUUUUAAGCAUUAAAUUAGCAAUAUCUACAGCUCCUACAGCAGCAGCAAAACAAAAAGCUGUGUUCCCAUUUUCGUCCUGAAGCAUCAAGUCUUCUGGAUCCAUAAAAGUCAGCAAUUGCUGAACAAAACUAGUUUGUUUUGCUCCUGUUGCUACAUGAAGAACAGUUUGAUGUCCCUCUGUAAUGGCCGCACAUAUUAUUGAUAGAUAAUCCUUUUCAAAUAAACCUUCAAUUUCCUUCAUCUCUCCUUUUAGUGCAGCCUUAUAAAGCAGUAAACGUUCACUGCAGCAUAGUUUUCUCUUUUUCCCUGUUAAAAUUUUGAACUUAUAAAAGUUGAAUUUUAUGUAACCUAAAUUAAAAAAAAAAAAUUAAAGGUUAUCUCAUUCUUACCAGAAAGCAAGUGAAGAGAAGGCUGCUUAAGUACUCGAGUUACUGAACUUUUCUCGCUCUCAACAAAUUCUGACACUUUUAUUGAAAACGAACCUCCCACUUCCGAACAAGGGUUCGAACUGAAAUCCCUUUUAGCCAUUUCACCUGAACUGCAAAUAUAUAUAUAUAUACAUGUCUAUUCUCGUUACAUGAACUGAAUAUAUACGUAUUGAACUUCAUCUUGCAAAUACUUAUUAAUAAACAAUUUAUGCAUUUGAUUUCAUAGUUCAGGCCAUCAUGUGAAAAUAAAAAUACCUCGAGUCUGACUUAAUUCCAUUUACAUUACUUGUACUUAAGUUAAUUAAUUAGCUCAGCGUUACUUGAUUUCCAGUCCCAGUAUGUAAAAAUGAACUAAAUCCAGUGCAUACAAACAUACGUAUAAAUGGACUUCAGAGUGAUAAUUCUUCAGUAGUUGAAAAAAAAAAAAAACACCAAGCAGAGAUGCUUGAAGAAGAGGUUUAAUUGCAGAAACCUUACAAUAGCGAUAUGGUCACCAAAUCAACUCCACUAGAAGUAAUACUUGAUUUAUGAUUAAUGUACUCAACUGUCCAAGUACUUUCCGUGCUCACUAUAUAUAGGCACAGUUACCUUGGACCCCCUUUUCUCCCCAUCCCAUCUCGUGUAGGCGUGUACCCUCUCCUCCACUGCUUUUUAAUUUUUAAUUUUAUUUCAGUUUUCUACUCAAGAUUGAGAGAAUUUUACAGGUGCUCCAAAUGUUUGCACCGUCUCUAUCUAUAUAAAAAUGUGUUGUACAUAUGACAAGAAUUAAGUGGAAAGUGAAGAAUUAGAUAAACAAAAUAUAAUAAAACCUUUAUAAUUUAAUAUUUCAUAAUUUAAUAUCUUUUGCUGUCUCGACUUGGGCCAAAUGAAUAACUUAGUAAUUUAUCAAAAUUACUAAGAUAGUAAUUUUUCUAAAAAUAUUCUGUGGUCCCAUUCAUAUCAUAAAUUAAUAAUUUUUUGAAAUUAUAACUAUAAUUGUUAUGAUAUUUUCAGCGUUGGCUCUAGAGCAUAUGGCGCUUUAAGGGAAUUUUUUUUGUAAGGCCUUUUUUUAUUUUACAAUUUCAAUAAAAAGACUCAAAUAAUAUAUAUGGAUUUUGUAUUUUAAGAAACUACUUUUUCUUUUUUAAAUGAACCAAUGAAUGUAAUAAUUUUUUUUGUUAAAAAAGGAGCAAGAAAUUUUAUGUUUACUAAUUUGUUAUAUUACAAGGUUUUAAUAUAAAUUAAAAGGAAUAUUAAAAGUAAAAGAAUUUAAUUUUUUUCUAGGAAACUGAAAAGGUAAAAAAUUUAAAUUUUUUUCUUGGAAAGACUAAUAAUGAAUGAUUUAAUGGUUAAACAAUAUUAUUAAUUAUAUCUCUUUAACAUUAAAAUUACCAAAUAUUGAUUUUAUAUUUUAAAAAAAUUCUUAGUUGUAGCAUAAUUGUUAAGUAUAAAGAUGUCUAAUAAGCUUUUCUAUAAUACAUAAUUUAAAAAAAGAUCUUUAUUAAUUAGAGAAUUUUUAAGAAAAUACUCAAAAAAUGAGGUAUUAAAAAAAUAUGGGGCCUUAGGCGACUGCCUUGUUCGUCUAUACUUAAAGUCAUUCUUGGAUAUUUUAUUAAAAAAUGACUCCAUUGUUACUUGUUUUUUCUUGAAUUUAAAUAUAAUUAUAUCUCAUCUCUAAUUUUACUUUUGCUUUUAGAGGUUCAAAUUUGAAACUUAUAAAUUUUAAUUUUUUUGUUAAUUUAUUUUAUAUUGAGUGGAUUAAUUCACGUUUAAUUGAUUAAAUUGGUAAAAUACAAUGAAUUUUUAGUUGAUUAAAAUGUUUGUUCAUUGAAUUGUAUAUAUACUUUAUACAUUAAUAAAUUAUUAAUUUAUCAAUUAAUUGAUACUUCUUUAAUUUAGUAGGUUUUGUAUAGUCCCAAUAUAAUUAUUUUGCAGAGAUUUUUACUGUACAAUCACUCUCACAUGUUGCUCUAUUAACUAAAUAUAAUAAAAAAAAAUAAUCAAAUACAAUUAUUAUAUGGAUUAUUUCGCCAUAUUUGCAUUGUAUAAUGGGUAAGAUUUAGUUACCAGAUUUGCAGAUCAUAAUGGCUAUGAUUAUAUGUAUGUAAUAUUGGUCUUGAUUUUGGUUAAUUCUAGGAUUCUAUCUUCGUUUGAUAGCUUUUUUUUUUUUUUCCUUAUUAUGAUCUUGAUCUUCCGAUUGUUCAUACGACUCCUAUCAGAAAAAUGAUAAAAUUCAACGGGACAUUUUGAUCGAAUAUGACAAGUCUUUAACAGAUGAAAUUUAUGUAAAAUUCUGAAUUAAUCAUAUCUCGUUAGGCGUUUGUUUAGGAGUAAUUAGUAACUACAAGUACCCAGCCACUGCGAAUUUUUUUUUUUUAAUUACAAUUAGCCUAACCAGCGAUUGUGUACAAUAAUUUUUGUAGAUAGAGUGAAAAUUAAUUUUUUAUCUUUUUACUUUUUUUAUGAUUCGAACUGAGUCACUUCCAUAUGUUUAGAAGUUACUCCUGAAAUUUGGUAAAAGUACAUUUAGUUUAUAUAUUUUUAAAAUGUGAGGGAUAUCAUAUGCCUAAUUUGGUAAAAAUACACAAUUAGCGCAAACCCUAAAAUAUUAUUAUUUUGCCCGAAGAACGAAAAAAAAAAAAAGAAUCAUUAGUUAAUAUUUUAUGUCAUUUGUUAAUAAUAAUAUCUAGGGAGCAGGUGCCAGUUGGCAGUGGCAGAAGAGAGAGAGAGCUAGCUCGUGGAUAAUAAUCUUUUAAUAAUAUUUUAUUUUUUGAAGUAGCUAUAAGUUGUAAAAUAGUUUUUCCUAUGGAUCUAUUUAGUUUCUUAAAUCUUGUAAUAAAGAAAAGGAGGAAUUUCACUUUACCUCGCAAAUCACGACAUAAUUUGAUUUACUCACAGUGUAAUUGAAGGCAUGGUUGCACCCCCUAACAAUUAAAGUUUACUUCAAUAGUUGACUAGCUUUCACCAAUAAAAAAACCAUUUUGCUCUUAAACAUUCAUAUUUAUGUGUAAAACUUUUACCUUAAAAAUUCAAAUUUUACAUUAUAAUAAGGAUAAAUGUGUAAUUGUCAAAAAUUUAAAAUUUAGGAAUAUUAAGAUUAUUCAUAAAAACAGAAAUUUGUAAAAACUAUAAAACAAAAAAUAUUCACAUUAUUCAUAAAAAAUGAAAAUCUGUAAAAAGUAGGAAAUUAAAAAAAUUCGCAUUACUCAUAAAAAAUUUAAAUUAGGAGAAAUUGCCAAACACUAGCCCUAAUUGACUAGAAAUCGUCAAAUUAACCACAAAUUGCAAAGUUCUUCAUAGCAACGACAACUGUUAGGAAGAGCAGCAACCGUCGUUAUGCUCAUGGAGUAAUAGUGGCUCGCCUUACUUGCGUGGCAACAAUAGCACCAUAAGUGCAACCGUAGCAUAUGAGGCUAAGUCAUAUAUGAAAAUUAGUUCAAGAGUUAAAGAUUACCUCAAAUUUGUAUUAUUAAUUGAAUAACUAUUCUCAGCUAAUAUGAGAUAGUUAUUAACACUUUUUGUCAUGUAAAAACUGGUACUUUUAUCUGGUCUUUAUUGCAUGGUAAGGUAAAGUGAGUCUAUUUGUGCCUAAGUAUAGUUCUAAUACCAUAUAGAAACUCAUAAACCUAAUUCAUAUUUAAAAGUUAGCUCAAGAGUUAGAAGUUGCCUCAAGCUUAUAUUAUUAGCUUAGUGACUAUUUUCAACAGAUGUGGAAUAUUCUUAAUACCCCAUCACGUGUAGGCUAAUCUUUUUGCGAAGCCCUCGUAGGUGUGGCUUCCUUGCACAGCAGCAGUAGCCGCAUGCUGGCUUUGUUAAUUUAAUUAUGAAGAAUGGGGAAUCUCCAUUAUGGGAACGAAUUUGAGCUUCAUCUGUUGAAUUUAGAUUAUAUUACAGUUUGGGUUACAGUUUGACAACUGAUCUGAAAUAUUUGAUGAAAAUGUCUUUUUUCUAAUUUAUCUUACUUUUAAAUUAUAAAUAUUCGUAAUAUUAUACAAAAAGUCCAUUUUACCCUUUAGCCAAUUAAAGUUAACAAAAAAUAAUAUUGGAAAGGGAUGCGAUGAUGUUUUUCAAUUAUUGUUAGGUAAAUUGAAUUAUGGCGUAACGUACAGAGAUACAGUAAAAAUUUCACUUAAAAAUAAAUAAAUUCCAGGGAUAUUGAGUAUCUACUAUUUUUAAAUUCUACAUAGUGAAAUGUGCUCCUAUUAAACUUCAGGCAAUAUAUGCAAUCAAUCCUUUAUGUAAUGGAUAAAUCUAAGGCAGCAGCAUUAUGAUUGGCCUGUUUGCAACUAUAAAGUUAAAAUUUAAUCACAUAUGCGCUCCUUAACAAUCACAUCCUUUAUUUUAUAAAAUCAUCAAUACAGAAUCGGAUUAAUAGUGAAUUGUCUUUCUAUUACUAUUUAGUCUAAUGGUAAUUCAAUUUUUUUUUUCAAUUAUGUAAGUAUAGUUCAAAUCUACAAUCUCUUAUUUCUAACAUGAGAUUUCACUGCAUCAACUAGAGAUUUCACUAAAUUUACUAGAUGACACUAAAUUUAUUUAUUUAUUAGCCUAAUAACAACCGCGGCAUUAUUAGUACACCUAGUACAAAAUUUUUAAAAGUCCGGAUCCAAAUUUUAAAAACAAAUGUUCCCCGUCGGCGCCUACUCUUGUCUUUAGUUGUUGGUUUGGCAUGCACGUCCAAUAUCCUUUUGUCUUCGUAAUUCCUUAAUUUUUAAUUUAUAAAGGAAUUCUUUUUAUUUAAAAUGCAGUUCCUUUCAUUCCAUCUCCAUCACAAUCAUUCUUUUUAUUUAAAAUACAGUUCCUUUCAUUAUUAUAUUUAUACUGCCUUGCAUUUUUUUAAUUUGAAUCUGCAUUAAUCCGCUCGACAAAAUCCCACACAAUUAACUUCACGUACUUGAAUAACUUGUGGAAGUCCUCAUUAGUAAGUGCAAAUAUAUAGUAUUUCUUUAAUAUAGACGUCUUUAGUUAAAAUAAUAUUAAAAUUUAAAACAUAUAUAUAUAUAUAUUUCAACACAUUAAAAAUGAUAUUUUUUUUUUAUUAAUUAGUGGUAUCCUAACUUUUUGAAAAUGAGGAUGUCGCCAUUAAAUAAUUACAAUAUAUAUAUAUAUAUAUAUUUGAUGCUCAUUUGAUUCAGGAUCCCGAGCGUUAUUAAAGUUUGAGAAAAAUUUUACACAAACUUAAAAAAAGUCUAAAAUUGUGGAUUAUAUAUAUAUAACAUCUGUGUGGUCUAACAUGCCUUUCUUUGAUAUGCGGUGGCUUAAAUAAAAAAAAUUCGGUGCAUUGACAUAAUCAAAGGGCUUUUGCAUGAUAAAGAUAAACUAGUUUAUACAGUCUAGAAACAUGCUUACGGAUAAGAAUGAAGACAUUUCCACAAAAUAAUAAUAAUUAAUUAAAUAAAAUAAUAAAAGGUUUGAAGUAGUCAAUUAUUGCGUUUUUGAGAAGAAUUCAUGUGUUAGAUAAGAAACUGCAUUAACAACUCGCAACUUGAAUCUCCAAACACCCAUGUAGAACACAAAAGUACUCAAAACUAGGUGAGAACAUCUAUGUUAACAAAUUUAAAAGAAUUUCCCAACUGAGAUAAAAAGAAAUCUAAUGAAAUUUAAAGAGCAUAAGAGGAAAAAUAAUCCACUGAUAUUACAAUUAGACUAUAACUGAUAUUUACAUUAAAGUAUUACAGAUAUUUAUAAACUAAACUACUACUAUGACUAGUUUAUAUUGAUUAUUUUGAAGUAUUGUCCAGAUUUUAAGUCUCACUAAUAUUUGAGAGACGUCCACUCAAAUUUCAUAAGGGAAAUGACUAUUUUCACUUAAUUAUAUCAAAAUUGAGAAAGGAAUGAAGCUCUCAUAAUACUUUUAUGAGAACUUGAAUAUAAGUACUCUUCCACUGGACCAAAGGCCGAUUGGUGUAAUAAUUAUCACUUAUGAAUUCAUAAUAUUUUCGAUAACUUUGGCCAAUUUUAAAAAAUUCUACCAGCUUUGGUUUUUUUUUUUGUUCUGUUUUUGUUUUUUUUUUUUCAUUUGCUUCUCAAGUUUUUUUUUCCCCCCGAUGACCUCGUUUUUUUAUUUUUCCGAUGAUCUCUGGUGUCAUUCUUGUGCUUAAAUUGAGAUAUUACAUAUGAGUUUAGUCGUUGGUGGUGCACGGAGGUUUUGAGGGUCAUGUGAAGAUUUUUUUUUUUCCAUGUAGACACAUUGGCGAAAUGUUCUGUAGGGUGGCUUUAAUGUGUGUUUUUUUUUCAUUUUGUAAAAUUACUUUUUUAUUUUGUUGGUUUUUUGUCAUUAAAUAAAGUCAUCGGAUUUUAGAUCUAGGAUUUCCAUUGAGAUCUUAAAUAGUAGUAAUUAUGUGUGUUGCCUUUACAUGUAUUAAGGACAUUUCUGUUUUCCAUUUGAAUGAGAACUUCAUUUACAGUAUUUCUUUUCAGUUAGGACUUAGGAGGACUCUUAAAUGAAUAGAAUGUGUCCUAUAUCUUAGGCAUACGUUUAACUUUACAAGCGGUUUGAUGGUAUGAAUUAGGGACGGCAAAUUCGUAUCCGGAUUCGGUUCUCGAUAUAUCACAUCCAGAUUUGGAUCCAUAUAAAUAUUUGAUAUCUACAUCCGCAUCCGGAUCGAGAAAAAAAUAUGCAGAUCCAAAUGCAGGUAAUACCCGUGCGGAGUACGGGAUGGGACUUCUGGAUCCAUAUAAUACUAAAUUUUCAAAUAUAAUUUAAAAUUCAACAAAUUUAACUAAUAAAAUCAAAUAAAAUCCAUUUGUAAUUCAACAAUCAACAAUUCAAUAUCUAGUAUAACUUACAACUACACCAUAAAUCCACAAAUAAAAAUACCACAACAUACAUCAAACAUUAAGAAUAAUAUAAAUCCAAGUCUAACACCACCACAAAUCCACAAAUAAAAUUAUUAAAGCACCACAAAUCCAUAUACAAUGAUGCGAAUCCAGAUAUAUUUUUAAUUUAAUUUAACUUAUAUGUUUUUUAAUUAAUCCUAUUAUUUUUUUCCUUUAACUUGUAUAUUUUUUUAAUUUAAUUUUAAUUUAAUAAAUAAUUUAAUUAAAAAAUAAUAUGGAUCUAAAUAUCCAAUUUUCCAAAUGAAUUUGCAUUCGGAUCCACACAGAUUUCAAUUUUAUUAUUCAUAUCCGCAUUUUUUAGUAAACGGAUCUAAAUUUAAUCUGGAUCUUCCACAUCUUUGCAGAUCUAAGCCAGACCCAGAAUUUUUUGCCAUCUUUAGUUUGAAUAUUGGAGUUUUUUAUUUGUAUUUGUGCCCAAAGUCGCUUGUUGUGUAAUGAUUGCCAAUUUGCCCUAUGAUUAAUGAAGUUUCUCUUCUUCUAAAACAAAGUAAUUAUACUUCGGUAAUUAUUCUCAAGUGCAAAUGUCUUCAUUUUUUUAAUAUGAAUCGAUCUUAACACCACAUGGUACUAUAGUGAUUUUAUCAUUAUUUUUUCAAUUAAUUAUAACACCAUCUGGUGUUAAGCCGAAUUCACAUUUUAAAAAAUUGCAAACGUCCAUAUAAGAAAAUGACUCUUUAUUUCUAUCUUUUUAUGUAUAUUAUUUUCAAUUUUAAAUACCCUUUGAAAACUGAUUUCGAACAUCCUUUUUUUAUUCUAAAAAUAAAAUGUGAAAAAAUGAAACGUAAUUUCAUUUUCAUUAAUUAUUUUCCAGAACACCUUUUAGAAAAUAAUAACGAUUGAGAACUAAUAAUUGAGUUCCAACUUAAAUCUCAAUUGUUAUGUGUUGUUAUUUAUUAAAUAAUUAAUUUAUAACUAAAAUUAAUAAUCUAUCAUCCAUUAAGUACCACAUUAGUUAAAACUCAAUUAUUAAAAUCCCUAACAUUUCUCUUUACCAAACAGUACCAAAUACCUAAGGGGUCCUAAUUAAUUUUUGUCCAAAGGUUUUUCCGAAUCCAUUCUUAGACACGCAACGUAAGGAAGAAGCUGAGAGCACACUGGGCCCGAAUUGGGCCCCAACCUGCAUAGCACUUUAUACUAUUGGUACCACUCAAAUUUCUCUUUUUGGGAUAAAUCCCCAUGGUUUUGCAUUUACAAUUUUGUCCUUUAUAUUUUUAUAUUGUAUUAAAGCAAAAACUUGUCUAAUUAAACACAUACGAUUUUAUUUCGGUUUCUUUCUCCAUUACAAACUCAAGUCAACUGCAAAAGAGUAUGAAUUUGUUAUAAAAUAAGCUUUAUUAAAUUUACAAUUUAUUUUUGUUGAAAAUAUAAUUAUGUGAAGUUUUCAUAGAUUAUUAACUUUAUGAACAUUUUAGGAAAUAACCAAAUCUUGCGCCUAUUUUCUUUUUGAAGUGGAAUUCUAGUUACUUAAUUUAAUUUUUUUUUUUUUUUGGGAAGUUGAUGCUGCUUAAUAAAUCUUUGAGUUGGACUAUUGGCACCCCUCCAAAAUCCUUUUAAAACCCCUCUUCUAUUACAAUUACAUUUAAGGACAAAUACUCAAAUAUAUUUCACAUCUAUUUUAUCUCAUUUUAAAUUUGUAUUUUCUCUCUUUAAAAAAAAUUAAAACUCUUGUAUUUUCUCUGCUAUCAAACUCACACAUGUAAUUUUUUUCUCAAAUUCUCUAUAAAUUUUUCUUCAAUUACCAAGACAAUCUAUUGAUAAUAAACAAAAUACAUUCUGACAAAAUUAUCUACCUUUUUUUAAGGCUCAUAAUAAAAUUUUUUACAUCAUAAUCUUACAAAUAUGUUAUUUAAUUAAUUGAUUUUUAUAAAGAAGUUUAUCACCCAUAAAAAUUUGUUUGUGAGGAGCAAGAAAAUAAUAGAAAAUUAAAAGAUUUACAAAUUAAAUGUGUUUAUUUAGAAAUAAGGGUAUUUUUGGCAUUAAACUUAACAUUAUUGAAGAAGGGGUUUCAAAAGAAUUUUAGAGGGGUGCCAAUAGUCCACCUCUAAAUCUUUUUCUUUACAACAAAUUCGCAUCAGUUUAUUGGAUAUAAACUACAGACAGAAGAAGUUGAAAAAGGGUUGAAAGGAAAGAGUGAUAACUACAGACAGACUGAGGAGUUUAUUGAGAAAAAAGAAAGAACCAAAUAAAAGUUAUUAAUUUCAGGAAUUAAGAGAAUAAAAAAAAUAACAGGAUAAUAAAAGGAUGUAAAUAGAACCAUUCCUCUAUAUAUCAUUUGGUAUAAUUUCGAUAUCCUUAGUUUGAAAUAGAAAAUUAGAAGUGAUUACUAAAUAAAGGUAAUUGCUCUUUUAAUCCAUAUAACCUGAGUCAAUUAUUUCGUUAGUUGUUGUACUUUUAAAAGAUUACAUAUAAAAAAAAAAUUGUUAAUGUGAGAUCCAACUUCUAUCCAAGUUCAGCUAAACGAUUAAUUUAAAAAAUUGAUGAAAGCAAUAAAGUGCAAAAAAGUAAGGUACAUGGGAGAAUCCUUGCCGCCACAUCCAAGCAUUCAACAAUCUAAUAAUAGUAAUAGAGAUAAUUUCUUAGCACCUAUCAACUGUUGACUGGUAAACACUUAAAACAGCGUGACAAAAAAAUUUCAGCAAUCGCGAGGUCGAAUGUUCAUUUUUUUUAAUGAAAUUAUUUUUCUUUUUCAAAUUAUUGUUUCGUGUUUUCUUUUUGUUUAUUUAUAUUUUUUUUUUCUCUGAAAGGGGUGUUUGUUAGUUGGCCUUUGAAUAUUUAACGUCACCUAACGAUUCUAGUAUUCUGAAGUUAAAAAUUCAAAGGCCAACUAAGAACCACCCCUUUCAGAGAAAAAAACACAACACUAUCAUUUGUAAAAGAAAAACAAUUUCAUUUUUUUUAAAAGUAUAAGAACAAAAUGUAAUAUAAGAUUGACAUAGAAAAUUAGAAACGAUUACUGAAUAAUGGUAAUUGCUCCUUUAUUUUAAUAUUAUGUUUUUAUUUAUUAUAAAAUUUAGUCUAAUAUAAUAUAAGACUUUAAAGUAUUAAAAUAUUUUUUUAAAUGUUGAAAUAUUUAAAAUGUAUAUAUUGUUACAUUUAUUUUAAUACUAUAUUUCUAUUUAAUAUAAAAUAUUAGAGUCUUUUUUUUUUAAUUAAUAGAACCAAAGUAUAUUAAAGUCAAAAAGAGGUCUUGGUGUUCCUUAUUAAAAACUUAAAGGUUUACAUGACCAUUUCUCCAAAUUUUGAGGGUGUAGGUGUCUUUCUUUAUUAUAAAUUAAGUACAAAACACACAUUUUUAGAGUGAAGGUGAUUCUAGUACAUUGUCACUUUUUUUCUUUAUUGUCAAACCUGGACGUAAAUAUAUUUUCAUUAUUGUAGUAACAUUUUAUAUAAUUGAAUCACAUGAAGGAAAGAAUAAUUUUAUUGAAUUUUCAGACAAAAUGUGCUUAGAAAGCUUUUUUUUUUUCUUGCGCUUUGGGAAAAAAAUAUUUAAUAAAAGCAACAAUAAAAAAUUACAUUCAUUAAAAAAGAAGUUUAAAAAUAAAAAAUAAAACAAAUUUAUUAUUAAACUUUUUGUUAAGUCCAUUAUUUAUAGAGAUGGCAUCUUAUGGCGAGUCUAGUUAAAUUGAAAUUUUAUUUAUUAAAUAUCAUGUGAUGGGGUUUAAUUUAUUAAUUCCUUAAUUUAGUGAAAUUCUAAUUUAUUAGGAAUAUUUGUUACACAUUUUAAUUAGAUGUUUAAUUUUGCAAACCAAUUAAUGAUAAAAUUCUAUAAUUGGCGCAUAAAAUUUAUUUAGGGCAAGAAGUUGGUUCAAAUAGGAAGUUUAUUAAAUGCUCUAGAUAUUUUUUAGAAGACAAGAAGGGUAAGAAUAUUAGAUUUAUUCUUAUUUAGAUUUAUAGGAAUUAUAAGAGGAAAGAAACUCUUAUUUGGAAAGAAUCCAACCCUUUUAAGACUUGUGAUUUUUGUGAAACUCUAAUGUCUAUAUAAAGAGAGUUAUUUCACAAUUGAAGUAACAUAACACAUAGCAUAAAGAAGAGAAGCAAAAUUCAGCCUCCUCUGUACCCAGACUAUUUCUUUUUAUUUCUAUGGAGAGUUCAUGUGAUCCUGGAUCACUAGACAUUGAAGAAAUGCUAUUGAUCACUUUGCAAAAUACAUUAAGAAUCGAGGAUCAAGAGAGAUAGCAGUUAUUCAAGAGAAGCAUAUUCAAUCUAAGGUUGAGUAAGUUGUUUGCUGAUAGAUUGUAAGUGAGAGUCUUAAGUUUGGUAAAUCCAUAGGUUGUAACAUCUCAACUUAGUGAAUUACUUUUCUAGGCGUGGCCUCGCAGAUGUAGGAUCGAUUAAUCUUAACCACGUAAAAAUCUUCCGUAUUAUUUAAUUUCUACAAUUUAUUGUUUUUUAAAAAAUAAAUGUUUUUUAUGCGGAUGAACAGUACCCUGAACAGUACUCGCAAAUAGUAACAAUGAUUAGUAAAUUAAUUUAGUUUAAUUAAUUUUGUGUUUCUAAUAUAAUUAGGUUAAUUAUAUUGAAGAUUUUCUCAAGCUUCACUUUGUUAAGAAAUUAAUUAAUUAAGUCUAUAAUUAAUUAAUUCUUGGAUUUUAAUUGCUUACAUCUAUUUGUAAUGGAUCUAAAUUCCUUUCAAUUGGUAUCAGCUAGAUUAGUUGAGUGUGCUUCAAGUUCCUUUUCCCGGCUUAAAUCAUCUUAAAUCAUUUUUUGUAAGCCACUCAUCACAAGUUGGGUAUGAAGUAAUCACAUCUUGUUCAUGCACAUUAGAUGAAAUAUUAUUAGAGGACAAAUUGAAGCUAUACGGAAAUAUUCUUUCAUCAAAGACAACAUGUCUUGAAAUAUAAACGCUUUUAGUUUGAGGUUGUAAGCAACGGUAACCCUUAUGUAACGGGCUAUAACCAAUAAAGACACAACGGUAAGUUUUCUUAUCAAACUUAUUCUUUCUAUAGUCUGUAAGAUAAGGGUAACACCUGCAGCUGAAAACCUUCAAACCAUUGUAAUCAGGCUAUUUUUUGAACAAAGUUUGAUAAGGGCUUUUCAUUCCAAGAGUAGAUAAUGGCAUUCUGUUGAUCAAGUAUACAAUAGUGAGAAAAGCUUCCACCCAUAAGUGCUUUGGUAAGGAGGCAUGAUACAUCAUAGUUAGAGUUGUUUCUACGAUGUGGAGAUGUUUCCUUUUAGCAACACCGUUUUGCUCAGGAGUAUAAGGACAUGAUACUUGUCUUAUUAUUCCACAUUUUUCAAGGUGACUGAUAAAUGCUAUUGAACUAAAAUUCUCCACCGCCAUCACUUUGGAAGAUUUUAAUCUUCCUGUCAAACAAAUUUUCAACCUAUCUUUGAAACUUCAAAAAGCAGUCAAGAAAGUCAGUUUUAGAUUUUAAAAGAUAUAACAAUGAAAACUGAGUAUUAUCAUCAACAAAUAAUGCAUAAUAUCUAAAAUUUUGAGAUGAAUUAAUAGGAGAGGGACCCCAUAGAUCACAAUGUAUUUUAUGCAAGGGAAAUUUUGAUUUAUUAUUAGAGAGACCAAAUGGUUGUUUACCGGCUUUGCCUAAUUGGCAAGAUUCACACACACUCGGUAUUUUAUUCCAUCUAAAAAAACAAAUAAGGUUAUCAUUUUUUAAAGCUUGCAAAAUUCGUGAACUUUGGUGUCCAAGUCAUUGGUGCCACAAACUAAACUCCUCAGAAUUUCCUUUUAUUGCACUUAGAGCAGCAGCAUGAACCUUCUCUAAAGCAUAAAGGUUCUAUUUUCUACACCCCUUGGCUAGAACUUGGUUCUCCUUGUUCUUCACAAUGAAACCAUUAGAAUUAAAUUCAAAAGAACAUUUAGAGCUACUAGUAAGCUCAGCAACAAAUAAUAAAUUCUUUUUCAAAUGUGGAACCACAAGAACAUUAUUUAAUUUUAAAUUACCGUGUUGUGUUUUUAAAAUGGUAUUACUAAUAUGUAAGAUAUGUAAGCCUUUUCCAUUACCUACAUAAAUUUUAUCAUAUCCCACAUAUGGUGAAUAUUGAACUAGGUUACCUGUUGUGUUGGUCAUAUGAGCAGUAGCCCCUGAAUCUACAUAGAAUUGUUGAUUCGUUGGAUCCUCGAUAUUCAUAGCGGCUAGAGCUUGAGGUACUUCAUCUUUAGGCCCAUAAUAGUCAUACCUGUGAUAACAAACAACAGCACUAUGGUUAUUUUUACUGCAAAUUUGACAGAAUAUGGUGCUUGGCUUUUCCUUUUGUUUUUGUUUGAUUUCAUCCUUCUUUGGCACUUGAGAUGGCUGUUGCGGUGGCUUUUGGGAUCUUUGACCAUAUGUUGGCUGAGUUUGAUUAUUAUUGGCCCACAUAUAUUGAUUAUUAUUAUUUCUUCGACCUCCAUUGUUUUGAGAGUGCCCUCUGCCACGAGCUCCUCUAUAAUUUUUGCCCCUUCCUCUUUGACCGAAAAAGGCGUAAUUAGGAUCAGCAUGUUUGUUACCUUCUUCCUCUUUUGAUACCAUCACUGGCCGUUCAUGGUUAUAAAGGGCUACUAUAAACUCCUUCAUGCUUGGGUAAAGAGGUUUGGUGAGCAUUGCAGUCUUAAAGUUGGCAUACUUUGGUCCCAAGGCACGAGCCAAUUGAAAAACUUUAUCUUCAUCAGAUAAAGGUUUUCCAAUUGCAGCGAGGUUGUCGCAUAUCCCCUUGAACUUCUUUAGGAAAUCUUCCAACUUUAGUGAACCUCUCUUUAGUGAAUAAAAACUAUCUUUUAACCAGGACUCUUGCUCUUUGGUUGCGGAAAGCAUCUGCUCCUCUAUGGACUGCCAAACAUCUCUUGCAUUUUGAACGCCUAUGAUUAGACUCAAAAUAUCUUCGGUCAUCAUUCCCCUUAGCCAAGUCGUGAGUAAUCUGUCAUUGUUUUUCUAUUUAGAAAACUCUGGACUGUUAACUUCCUUCCCAUCAAUAAUAACUUGAUUAGAUGGUGUCCUAUCAUCGUUAAUGUAAUGCUCAAGAUCUAGGCUUUGUAUAAGCGGAAGAACCUGGGACUUCCAUACAAGAUAGUUUUGGAAAGUAAGUUUGACAGAGACUAGGCUAGAGCAUUGGUGGAAUGUUUGGAGAGGAAGUUUGGGUUCGACCAUUUGGGAAAUUAAAGCCAUAGGGCUCUGAUACCAUAAAACACUUUUUGAUAAGUUGAGAGGUAUAUAUCUUUAUUGAGUAAUUUACAAAAGAACACAAAUGAUAUUUAUACACAAGAGUUUAGUUUAGCUAUGAUAUUUACAUAAGUAUUGGAAUGUGAUUGAAAGUGGUUAUGUACAAUCAAGCCAGGAAUCCUUGAUUGAUUGGAAAUCUGUAUUUGAUUUCCGUUGAUGGUGCUGUUGAGAUAACAUUGUUGAAAUCCUUUUCGUCAAAUCUUCAAUUACCAUAUUGGCUUCAUGCUUGUCAAGUAGGACACUAAUUGUUUAUUUAGUGAGAAUCUUGAAACCUAGAUCUAUUUUGUAGGUAUGAAUUUGCAACGAGAGGGAAGCUUUUUGGCUCAUCCACUUGUAUUAUAUGGAACAUAUUAUGCUUUUUAGAAGCAAAGGAGGAAAAUUUAUCUGACAGCUAUUGAUAAAAGAGUUUGGUAGUGCAUACUUACUAGAUGUUAUCCACCUACCAAAACUUAUGAAGAUGGUGUAGAAUCUCCAAAGCCAGUCAAAGAAUGGUCUAAUGACGAACUUGAUGCAUCUCGAUAUAUGCAAAAGGACUUAAUGUUAUUGUCAAUGGAGUUUAUGUUUCAACAUUAACUAUUUUCUACAUGCAAGACAUAUAAAGCUGUUUGGGAUAUAUUUUAAAGUAAUUUUGAAGGCGACAAUUUAGUAAAAUGUUCUAAACUUUAGAAACUUACAUAUGAUUUUGAUAACUUUGAAAAUGCAUGAUCUUGAAACCAUAUCUUAAUUUAAUUUUAGAAUCCUUACUAUUGUUAAUGAUUUUUCUUGGAAAACAUAUUUCUAAGGAAGAAAUUUGUAGAAAAAUCCUAAGAUAUGUCCAUCCUAGAUAUCAUCCUAAGAUAGAAUAUGCUGAUUGAAAUAUUAGCUAAGCAACCAAAGAGAGGGAUGAAUUGGGUUUCUAAAAAUUAUGGUUAAGCAAUAAAUAAAUAAAUAACAAUACUUAAAAUGUAAAAAGAGAAGGGAAAGAGAAUCGAAUAUGAGAUGUUUACGUGGUUCGGCAAAUUUCGCCUACGUCCAUGCCUCCAAGCUCAUCCGGAUUAAUGAUUCCACUAAUCAAGCCUUACACUGCAAGGCUUCAAAAUCUUUAUAAUUGACUUCCAAUGUGUCAAUCAACCUUUACAACAAGAGAUUAUCCCAGACCUAGUAACCUAAGUGUUUCCCACACUCUCAAACACUUAAUUUGAUAAAAAUUAAACAAAUUUUCCUUCACACAACGUAUGCGUUUAUAGAUGAAAGCCUAAAGUGUGAUCUAACAAGUUUUAAGCACAAGAAAGAUUGAAUACACAAUAAUAAGCUCAAUGAUGAUUGUAGAAUCCGUUAUAUUUUGAAUUUGAUCAAGCUUUUUUAUAGUUGGAGAAGAAAACUAGCCACUUUCUAGACAUAAUCAGAUUACUGAGAAUCAGAAGUCAGAUUGUCGUUUUGACUUGUAUAAGCUAUCUUUAUGUUGAGGUUUAAAUAGUCAGUUCACCAUCUUGAAGUUAUCAGUUUGCUUCUUAAUCCUAGAAGUCGGCUUAUUGUUUGCUAAUAAUCGGUUUGUUGAUUAAUUUUAAUAUCCUUGCAAAGAGAUAUUAGCUAAUCAUUUUCAGUUAAAUUGAUCUAUGGAAUUUGUUGGUUAACCAUUUUCUAAUAAACGAUUCACCAAUUCCAAAAAAUUUGCUUAUUAGAAUUUAUCGAUUUAUUGUUUUCCAAUAAAUCGGUCACCGUUAUCUUUCAAAAUCAAAACUAUAUGUAAUCCUUAUAAAAUUGGUUUGUCGUUUCAAGAUUAUCAGUUAUUCGGUUUUGUCUAAAUUCUUAAACUUAUCUAGAAACUUUAUACGGCCUAAAAAUUAACCAAUUUUAGCGACUCCAACAUCCUUAAUCUUGUUUUUUAUCAUUAAAAUCAAUGUUAUGAAAAUAUUUAUGUUAACACUGAUAUGUCUAUGGUGACUGGAGGCCCUCUUAUAAGGAAAUUAAUGGUCUAUGAGACUAAUUACUUGAAUUUAAAUCCUAAAAAAAGAAAAGAAUAUUGAAUUUCAGGCUAAAACACAGGUUGUCAUCGCCUAACCAAGUGAGGAUGAUAAUCCAUGUGUACGUGGAUAAUUCUCUUACACUAAUUGCAAAGAAUUUCAAAAAGAUAUGAAAAAAAAAGAACUUCAACAAACCAAAGAAGACUUCUAAAUCAGUAGCUCCAAUGACUCAAAAAGGUUCUUCUAACCCUAAUUCCAAAUUAAAUGAUCUUUACAAGCUUGAGAGUAUUCAAUGCAGAGAAUGUGGAGGCAUGAGACACAUACAAGCACAAUGUUAACACUCUCAUGAAAAAGAAAGCAAUGCAACUAACUUGGAGUGAUGAUGAUUCUAAUGAUAGCAUUGAUGAAGAAAACCUUAUUGGAGGACUUGUUACCCAUGAUGAUGUGUCAUGACAAACUAAUAACCAUGUACAUGAAUUAAACAUUAAAGGUGCAUGCUCAUCUAAAACCUUGCAUAUAGCUCCCUAUAAGAAAGACAUUGAUUCUCAUCUUCUUAUACAAUAUGGUAAAAAGAAUGAUGAUUCAGAUAGUAAUGUCAGUGACAUUGAUAUAAACAACAAGAAAGCUUUUGAUGAAAGUUGUAAGAUGAUGUUUGCUAAAUGGAAAGAAAUCUACAAUGAGAAUAUGACUUUAAUGACUCAAGUAUCUAAUCUUUUGGAAGCAAAACUUGAGAGUGAGGUAAUUCGUUACAAGUUUUUAUUUACUAAAAAAGAUAACUAAUUGUUUAUAGUGAUCACAAAAUUACAAAAUAACAAAAAAUCACUCAAGAUGAUGAAUUCUGAAACUCAAUUGUUAGAUCAUAUCUCGCCAAUUGGCAAAUCUAACUCAGAUCAUCAUAGUCUUGGAUAUCAACAUGGUAAAGACUCAAAUUCUUAAUGUGUGUUUGUUAAAGUUUCUCUACCAUCAGCUCCUCUACCAAUAGCUUCUCCACCGGAAGUUAAAGUUCUAUAUCAUUAAAAACAUAAAGCCGUUGCACAUUCUUCACCAGUUCAUCAAGGUAAAAACAACAGGUUUAUUUUUAUUUUUAACUUUUGCCAAGCUAAAGAACAUAUAAGACCUAAUCGCUUCAAGUUCAUAAAAUAUAUGAAAAAAGCUAUGUUCUUUAAUUAUUGUUAUAGGAAAUCUAGGAUGACACCUAAACCUAAAGUUGAGACAAAUGACAAUAAAUUUAAAACCACUUGGAUAAGAAAGACUAAUUAUAAAGCCUAUAUUUCUUUUAUUUCUUUAAGAGUUUGUGCUAUUGACUUUUGGUACUUUGAUGGUGGUCGUUUUAGACACAUGACAGGCGAUAGAGGUGCCUUUAUCAAUUAUAAAAAAAUUGAUCGAGAAAAUGUGACUUUUGUUGAUGGUGUGAAAGGUCGUGCACUUGGAAAGGGAAAACUGAAUGUAGAAGGUUUUCCAAAGCUUGACAAUGUUCUUCAUGUGAAAGAUCUCAAAGCAAAUUUACUCAACAUUAGUCAAAUUUGUGAUCAAAUGUUGUUUGUCAACUUUGAUAGAAACAAAUGUCAUGUUCUCAGUGUUGAUGAAAAUUUCAUUUUAGAAGGACAUCAAUCAUCUGAUCAUUGCUAUUAAUUGACUAGUUUAAUUAUUUAUCAUAAGACCACUCUUAAUGAUACAUACUUAUGGCAUAAAAAGCUUCGUCAUUUGAACUAUAAGUUACUAACUAAAAUUGUGAAAAUAGGUGCUGUUAAAGGAGUACGAAUGCUAAAAAAGAAACAACUUGGAGUAUGUGGUUCAUGUCAAUAUUGCAAACAACAAAGGGUGUCACAUAAUGCCAGUGGAGAUUGAACAACGUCUAAGGUUCUCCAGCUACUUUAUAUGGACCUUAUGAGACCAAUGCAAGUUGAACGUUUAGCUAGAAAGAGAUAAGUAUUUGUGUGUGUAAAUGAUUUUUCUAGGUAUACUUGGGUUGAUAUUAUUCAAGAAAAACCAAUUACAUUUGAUGUGUUUAAAAAGCUUUGUGAAAAGAUAAAAAAUGAACAAGAUUGCAAUAUUGUUAUAACUAGGAGUGAUCAUGAGAAAGAAUUUGAAAACUCUACUAGUUUUGAGAAAUAUUGUAAUUUACAUGGAAUUUCACAUAAAUUUUCCUCCAUUAUUACUCCACAACAAAAUGGUGUUGUAGAAAGAAAAAAUAGGUCCUUAUACGAAAUGGGCUCGAGUGAUAUUGAACUCGAAGAAACUUUUAAAGAGUUUAUGGGCUGAAGCUUUUAACACUACCUACUACACUAUUAAUCGUGUUAAUCUUCACUAAGAAAACUCCCUAUGAGUUAUGGAAAGGUAAGAAAUAUUAUCUAAAUUACUUUCAUAUUUUUAGGGGUAUGUACUUUGUAUUAACUAAUUGUGAGAAUCUUGGUAAAUUUGAUUAAAAAAGUGAUGAAGGUGUUUAUCUUGAUUAUUCCAAUAAUAGUGGAGUAUUUCGUGUUUAUAAUAUGAGAACUCAUAGCAUUAUUGAAUCUGCAAAUAUAGUUAUUAAUGAUUAUCAAGAUUUUGUAGAUUACUCAGUUGAGAAAGAAAUAAUUAGUUUUCUAGAAACACCAAAGAUUGUUUUAAUUGCUCUUACAAAUCAAAUCACUGAGAAAGGUCAAUCCAAUAAGCCUUCUUUGAAAGAAAAAGAACCAGUUGUAGAAGACACAACUAAAGAAACUUCAAAAACUCCAGGAAUUGUGAAAGCGAAUGUUUUAAAGGUUUAAGCAAUCAUGGAAUUACAUGAUCCAAUUAGAAAGUAACCAUCAUCAAAAGUUAAAAAGAAUCACAAGUUUGAUCCUAUUUUAAGUAAUCUUGAUGAAUACAUGGUUGCAAGGAAAAGGUAUGCAAAUAUGGUAAGAUUUACUUGCUUUACAUCAUUGUUUGAAUCUAAGAAUGUUAAGGAAGCCUUGAUGAAUUUUGGCUUAAAGAUACGCAAGAAGAGGUAGAACAAUUUAAAUAAAAUGAUGUAUGGAUGCUAGUAUCUAGACCUAGUCAUACUAAUGUCAUAGGAACCAAAUGUAUUUUUAAGAAUACAACUAAUUAAUUUGAUAACAUAGUGAUAAAUAAAGUUAGGUUGGUUGCACAAGGUUACACACGAGUCAAAGUUGUUGAUUUUGAUAAAACAUUUUCAUCAGUUACAAGACUAUAGUCCAUUCAUUUGCUUCUUGUAGUUGUUGUCUAAUAGGCUUUAACUUAUUUCAAAUGGAUGUCAAGUGUGCCUUUUUUAAUGACAUUUUGAAUAACGAUGCCUAUGUUAAACAAUCUGAAGGUUUUGAAGACGCCCAUUUCUCAAAUUAUAUUUGUAAAUUGAAAAAGGUUUUGUAUGGUUUAAAGCAAGCUCCUCGAGCUUGGUAUGAAAGAUUGACUAAGUUUUUGCUUGAAAAUGGCUAUGGAAAAGGAGUUUAAGAUGAGCAUGGUGGGUGAAUUGACUUACUUUUUAGGUUUACAAGUGAAACAAAUGAAGAAUAAAAUUUUUGUCAAUCAAACCAAGUAUGCCAAGAACUUAGUUAAGAUAUUUGGCUUAGACUUAGCAAAACACAUGAGAACUCCUACGGGUACUAAUAUUAAGUUGACUAUAAUGAUUCUAGUAUGGAUCCCAGUCUUUACAGAAACAUGAUUGGUAGCUUACUUUAUGCGACUACAAGUACACCAGACAUGUUUCAGUGUUGGUGUAUGUGUUAAGUACUAAGUGAAUCCAAAGGAGUCACACUUUGUAGUUGUUAAACAAAUCAUUUGUUUUGUCAGGAGGACAAUCGAUAAUAGUAUUUGGUACAUUAAUGAGACUAAUUCAAGUCUUGCAAGAUAUAAUAAUGCAGAUUGGGCUAGCAAUGCUGAUGAUAGAAAAAGCACCAUUGGAGGAUGUUUUUAUCUUGAAAAUAACUUAGUGUUGUGGCAUAGCAAGAAACAUAAAUCAACUUCUCUCUUUAUGGCUGAAGCUAAAUAUAUUGCAGCUAGAAAUUGUUGCACCCAAUUACUCUAGAUGUAACAAAUGCGUGGAUUAUGAUAUAUUUUAGAAUGCUUUGACUCUAUUUUCUGAUAACACUAUGCUAUCAAUAUUUUCAAAAAUCCUCUUCGACAUUCUAGGACUAAGCAUAUUGAUAUUCAUCAUCAUUUUAUUAGAGAUUUAGUUGAGAGCAAGAUUAUGUCCUUAGAAUACAUUGAUACUAAAAAAUAGCUUGCAGAUAUCUUUAUAAAAGCUUUAGAUUUUAAAAGACUCUUUAAGGACAACUUUGGGUGUGUGUUCUAUAUAAGUCAAAAUGUUUUUGCAUUUAGAUUUAAGUCAUUCAUUUUUGCAAUAGAUAUAGGUCAUGCAUUCAUGUGUUUUUUAAUUUUUGAGUCUUCGUUUUUUGUGUUUUUUUGUGAAAAAUUGGUAAGUUCCUAGAUUAAUAAACGACAAGCAAUUUUUCUUGUUUUAAAAGACUCGAAAGCUUUGAACAAGAUUCCAUUAGAGUUACUUAACCUUUUUUCAAAAGCACACGAAUUAUCAUUCAAUCUUUACUUUGACUCAAGGUUUGAUAUUGACAUGAUCUUUGUUGAGAAUAUUAAAUUUGAGUUAUAAUUGUUUGCCUUAAUUCUUAUCUUGUCAUAAUUACCUACAACUCUUAAUAAUGAAGCUAUCCUUGAGUGAUAUGAGUCUACGUAUCACAAAUAUGAUAGAGGACGAACCACCAUGAGAAGAAGGCUACCUUAAGUGAUAGAGUAAAAGCUCGUAAAUAUAGACAUUUUUUAAUUAUCAAUAAGCUAAAUUAUUUUCCAAAAUGAACUUGUGCUAAAUUGCAAAAUCCGAAUGGAUAGCAAAGUUUCACUUCACACAUAUGUCUAUCAUUUUUGAAAUGGUCAAAAUUAGAUAUAAAGAUGAUAAGGUUAGUUUGACCAACUUCAUGUUUUAUAUUUGAAACUUUGACUAUGAAUAUUGAUAAAUUUUUAGGGAAAAGAUCUUAAUUGAAUUGCCUCGUACACCUACAAAAACUUACAUUUCUCUAAUCUUUACUUAUUUGAGGAAACUAGAGUCUUAACUUCAUGGAUUAAUGCUUGUUGUGGAAAAUUCCCUAAUACAUUGAUUUUUCACUUGUAUAAGUUUGUUAUUAAUGCAUAAAAAUAAAAAUAAAAAUUCAUUUUUGAAAAUUUUGUUCAUGAUGCAUGUGCAUCAUCAUGUUCUUACAUAUUGGUAUGAUUUUAGAUUUAAGAGUUACACAGUUUUGAAGCAAAACCUUAAUUUUGUUUUCUGAAGUGCAUUAAAUUGUUUCUGCCAGUCAAAACUAAACAGGUUGCAUUCGUUUGGUCAUAACGUUGUCUAUAGAACUCCAAAUUCAGUUCUGUAAAAUUCUAACAAAAGGUAAUUCAAAGAUCUUUCCAACAUUAAUAUAUGGAUUGCAUUCUAAUCCAUCCAAUUCAUUCCCAAUUUAAUUUUGAAUUUUAUUCAUCUGUACUGUGUUUUCGAUUCAAAAUAUUAUCAUGCAUCUCAUUCGAUUUUUUGCAUUUCACUUGAUAUUAAUGACUUAUUUGUGUUAGAUUAUACUUUCUUAUCAUUCUUCUACUUAGUUUAGGAUUGAUGGUGUCUUAACUUGGAUCAAAAUCUUCUUUCUCAAUCCUUACCUUGUGAAAGUAGGAUUUCUACUCCUCUUUGAACUAGAUUGACUUAUCGAUAUAAGGAAGCCUCUAAGAUCAUUUAUUUUCACUCAAUUUUCUUGGCUUCCUCAUUAUAAUUUCAGCUGGUUUAAAUUCUUCACUUUUGCAAACUUUUGGCAAGAGAGGGGGAGAUUUAAAACAAAGUCAUCAUCAACUGUAUGAUGCAAUAAGUUAGGGGGAGUCGUAUAUCAAUUUUAGGGAGAGCUUUAUUUUUGUUAAAGAACUUUUUAGAUCUUAGGAUUCUAACUCUUAGGGGGAGUUUAUCUUUUUAUUGAUCUUGAUUUUGUGCUUAAUAUUGUCUUGCAAUUUAUUGAUUAACAAAAUAAGUAUUUUAUUUUUAAUUAUUGCAUUGGUUUAUUUGAUGGACUAACAUGCUAAUUGCCUAUUAUUUUGGUUAGUUCUUUAUUGUUGUUUUUGCUUGUUUCAGAUUCAUGUUUUAGUGCCAAGGUUUCAUUGAAGACGUGUAUAAGAUUACUUUUGCCACAAGGAUGCCAAAAGGGUAGAUUGUUAAGUCUAUUAUUUAUAAAGUUGGCAUCUUACGACAAGUUUAGUUAAAUUAGAAUUUUAUUGAUGAAUAUCUUGUAAUAGGGUUUAAUUUAUUAAUUCCUUAAUUUCGUGAAAUUUUAAUUUAUUAGGAAUAUUUGUUUCCUAGUUUAAUUAGAUGUUUAAUUUAACAAGUCAAUUAGCGACAGAUUCUAUAAUUGGUGCGUAAGAUUUAUUUAGAGCAAGAAGCUAGUUCAAACAGGAAGUUUAUCAAAUGCUCUAGAUAUUUCUUAGGAGACAAGUAAGACAAAAAUAUCAUAUCUAUUCUUAUUCAGAUUUUUAGGAAUUAUAAGAGAAAAAAAAAUUUUGUUUACAAAGAAUCCACAUCUUUUAAGACUUGUGAUUUUUGUGAAACUCUAAUACCUAUAUAAAGAGAGGUAUUCCACAAUUGAAGUAACACAAAACAGAGCAUAAAGUAGAGAAGCAAAAUUUGGCCUCCUCUAUAAAGAAUCCGGAUUUGGCACACGAUGUUGUGUUUAUUUGUUUUCUUGUCUUCUUCAUUCAUGCCUUGUAACGAAAUUGUUUUAUUUUUUUAUCUCUGUGGAGAGUCUAUAUAGAUCUUGUAUCACUAGAUAUUAAAGAAUUGAAGAAUUAUUAUUGAUCACUUUGCGAAGUGCCUUGAAGAUCGAGAUCAAGAGAGGUAGCAGUUAUUCAAGAGAAGCAGAUUCAGUCUAAGGUUGAGUAAGUUGUAUGGUCAUAAAUUGUAAAUGAGAGUCUUAAGUUCAGUAAAUUCAUAUGUUGUAACACUUCAAAUUAGUGAAUUACUUUUCUAGGCAUGGCCUCGUAUAUGUAGGAUCGAUUAAUCCAAAUCACGUAAAAAUCUCCAUAUCAUUUAAUUUCUACAAUUUAUUGUUUUCAGCAAAAUUAAUGGUUUGAUGAGGAUGAACAGUAACAUAAACAGUACUCAUGAGUAGUUACUGUAAACAAUAUUCAUGAAUAGUAACUGUGAACAGUAAAUUAAUUUUAUGUUUCUAAUAUAAUUAGGUUAAUUAUCUUGGAAAUUUUCUCAGGCUUCACUCUAUUAAGAAAUUAAUUAAUUAAGUCAUUGAUUAAUUAGUUCUUGGAUUUUAAUUGUCUAUAUCUAUUUGUAAUAGAUCAAAAUUUUCUUUCACUUUUUACUUGCACCAAAUGCCAAAAUUUGUUAGUUUUAUCACUUUUCUUAGCAGAAACCAUUUUUUUUCUUAAAUUUUUUGCAUCAAUGGGUUAUUAUGAAAACCAUAAAAGAAAAAUGAUAAAACUAAAGAAUUAUAUGGAAAAAGUGGCAAUUACACUUAUCUGAUAUAUUUUACACACUCAUUUAAUAAAUUUAAUAAAUUGAAAUGAGAUACGUCAGGAGAAAAAAUUAUGUAUGAUGGUGACCAUAUUGUAGCAAGAUGCAUGAAAUCUCUGAGUGUCAUGAAUUGUUCAGGAAGAUUUUGUAAGGAUUGGUUAUCUCUGUGCUCUAAAACGUUAUCAAUUCCGAUGUCAACUAUGUCUAAGGAGAUGAAAAUGAUUUCCUAAUUAAUCUGCCACUAUCUGUGCAAGACCAACAUCGCAUGUAAUGCUGAUGAAGUGUGUUAAAUUAGGAAGAUUAAUUAAUUAAAAUUAAUUAAAAUAAAUAAAUGCGAAAUAAAAAUAAAUAAACUGAAAAUUAAUUAAUUAAAAUUAAAAUAUUAGACACAGCCAUAAAAACAAAAUAAUUAAAGGCAAACAAUAAAUAACAUAUUAACAAAAUAUUAAUAAUUCAGGUAGUAUUUUAAAACCAUCCAUAUAAUAAAAUGUAAAUUAAUUGUGGAAUAAAAGUUAUAUUACAAUUUAGGUGGUAAACCGACCAUAUAAAUUAACAAAUAAAAGAAAAAGUGUGGAAAUUAAAGGAAAGAAAGAAAAAAAAAAAUACUUACCUCAAGAGGUGGAACUUUCGCCUUUUUUUUAAAACAACUUUUAAGAAUUAUCAGCCAAUUAAAUUAAGUUAUGGGCCUUAAUAGUAAUUUUAAAAGCCUAAUUAAAUUCAAGUCCAUUAUGUCCAUAAAGUCAAAAAAUCCGAGUUCACAUAGUUCUACAAUUCAAAAGUACAAAGAAUAAGUUAUAAUCUAAAGAUUCAAGUUCCAAUUUAGUUUAGGGACUGAGUUGCAACAGUUUUUAGUUUAAAAUGAGAUUCUUCACAAGUUUUAUAGCAAUUCUAUGAUUACAAGAGAGAAGAAGGAGCUAACUGAAAUUUUACGAAAGAAAAAUUAGAACCAAACAAAAGAAUGACGUAAAUGAGGAUGCAAAACAUAGAUAAUAAUUGACAAAAGAGAAUAAUAAAAUAGAAAUGAAAUUGACACCAAUUAAAACUUGACACGACUCAAAAGUAUUAUUUACUCUCAAGUAUAAGAGUGUUUGGUUAUAAUAUAACUCAGUGAGUCUGGGGCAGUAGCGACUCGACCUCUAGAUAAUUUAGGCAGUUGCCUAGGGCUCCGCUUUACAUGAAAGCUACACGAGAUGAUUAUUGUGUAUAUAAAGGGAGAAAGUGAAUUUAAAAGUCAUUAUUAUUUAUUUAAUUAUAUUUUCCUAAAUAAACUAUCAAAUUCCUAUAAAGUUUAUUUAAUGUAGUACUUAGUAAUUUUAAUUUGUACAAAACCAAUAAAUUAAUAGUUUCAAUCCUACAAAUUCUCUAUUUCAUUGUUAGAAUUAAUAUGUUAUAUUUCAAAAGUUUUAUAUUCAUUUUAAACUUCUAUAAAAGCCCCACAUUUUAUUACUUAUCCAUUAAAUUUUUCUUCCAACAAUCAAGACAUGAUAUGUUCUUGGUGUUUGAGAGAAAGAAAGAGAGAGAGAGGGAAAAAACUCUUGCUUCCUCUACUUUCCACUCUAGAAGAAAAAGAAAAAAUCUUAUAGUUCUCUGUAUUCUCUAUGAUUAUUGGUCAUUACUCAAAUCCUCAAACAAUUAAUAUAAACAUAAGUUAAUUUAUGAUUUCAUCUCAAAUUUCAGAUUUUAUCUUUUUAUUAUUCUCUUAAUUAGUUGUGUUAUUUCUUUUUUCUUAUUUCUUUUUAAUAUAUUAUUUUAUUCAUCUAAUUUUUCUUGUGUGUGCUUGUUUUAUAUAUUUUGAAAUAAAACUAUAUUGAAAACUUUUAGAGAAUAGAACAAUAGAAAAAUUAGUUUAAUUUAGAAAAGGAGUAGUAAAAAAGAUAUAAUUUGAGUUAAAAAAAUAAGUGGAAAUGUUAUAAUUGAAUUAAAAUUUCAUGGAUUAGCAACAAUAGAAUAGAAUUUUAUUUAAUAAUUUUACAUUUUAGAGUGUUUAAAGAAUUUUUUUUCAAUAAAUAAUGUAUAUUAUCCUAAAUUUUAAGAAAAACUAAUUAAAACCAUUUGCCUAAACCCUCAAAUAUAGUUGAGCCGACCCUGGUCUGGGGUUGGACCACAGGAAAAUUAAAAUCUAGUACUCAAUUACUAAACAAAGAAACUUACGUAUAGGAAAAGAAAUUAAUAGGAAUCAAUCUAAAAAUAUGCUAAAAUUACGUGAUCUAGUCUUGGAUUUCAAAUUAUGGUUAUAACACUCUCUCAUAUUUGUAUUUUACAUUUAUUUUGCCAGUUAAUUAUUAUGUCCUUAAUUCUUAACUAACCAUUACUGUGGAUAAAUAUGGAACCAAGUAUCUAAUGUGCUGCAACUAUAUUAAAGUGUCAAUAUUAUGUCAAAAUACCAUAUAAAUCUGAUGACAUCUAAAUCUAUAAAUUAACAUGAUAUAAAAGAAACUGGUAAGGAAAAAAUACAACAAAUAAAAUAAACUUUAAGACUCACUUGAGAGAGUAUUUAAUUAAUAAUUUGAAUUAUUGAACUUCACCUUUCACCGCAGCUUAGAAAAUUAGCCACCCAUAUUGAUAAACAAAAUAUUCAUUUUAUUUAACAAACUUCUGAAAUAUACUACAAAAAAAUUAACUACAAAAGAAUAAUUUUUUUUUCUAAUUUCAGUCUCAACUCCUCCUCUUCUCUACCCUCCCCCUUUCCAUCUCCAUAUUCUUGCCUUUUAUAGGCAACUAGUCAUGCCAUCUUCUUUUAUUUUAUUAUUAUUUAUUUUUUUAUAAUAUAUAUACAUAGAAAUGCAUGGUAGUCAAGUGGCGAAAUGCCCACCUGAUUGUCGCGAGCCUGUUGCUCACUUUCCUUUUCUUUAUUUUUUUAUGAAUUACAUUUUCUUAAUAAUGCAUUCCAAAUGGCUCUAGCAAUUUUUCUUUAUUUCCCGCUUUCAAUUCCCAUUCUCUCUUUAUUCUUGAAAUAUUUACAAUAUAAAAAUUAACAUAUUGCAAAUUAACAUAAAAAUUUAUUAGGCGAGUAUUAAGAUAAUUUAGGAAUAAUGAGCACAUUAAUUAAUAUUGUAAAUGAAAAACUGAUAAUUUUAUAUUUAGUAAAUGUACACUUUUUAGUGUUAAUCAAUUAUUAACUUUGUGUGCUUCUUUCUCUUGACUUGAUGUAUAUUUAUCUCUUAUACAUCCAUCUAAGUCAUUUAAUUUGUUUAAAAAUAAACACCUAAUAAAUAUUGUAUUUAAAAAUUUUUACUUGACAAAGUUUUCAGGCUGGAUAAAUAUCACGUUUAUUUAUUCAUAAUCAAGAUUUAUUUAAUUAUUAUGUUCUCAUUUAUUAGCUAGUAAUCAUAUAAGUGUAUUUACUUAGAUAAAAGAUGAGAUUAGGAGCCUUGCCCCACUAUUAAAUAUAGAAUCUAUAGUGUUCCUAAAACACUGAACUUUUUCUAUUCUCUUAAAGCACCCAUGAGUUUUCCUCAAGCUUGACAAUUGGGGUACAAUUUCUAGCUUUCAAUAUUUUGGUCCAACUAGAAACCUAGAACGACAAGUGGAAUAGAGUAUGUCUCCCUGAAGGCGACAUUGCAGUAGAAGAUACAGAGCGACUGGAAGAAAUACAAGUAUAAUGGUAAGCAUAGAGAAACAAUUCAUUCUAUCACGAUAAGCCAAGAAAAAACUUGAGCUAAAGGAUAGCAUCAUGGUUGCUAAAGCUAUGAAGAGUGUUAAGAGUCCGAAUGUUAACUUGAAUGGUAACCGCUUCAGAAAGUCAUUUUCUCUGUAUCGGGACGUGAUCAGAAUGGACAAGAACAUCAACAUUGAGAUGCAAGAGCAGGAAAAUGCGAUUGCUUCUGACAUGACAAAAAUAUAAACCAAAUCUUUGAGUGGAAAUUGGGCGUUCCUUCUCCAUCUUUGUUGCUACCUGGUGGAGUGAAAGCUGCCUGAAACACCCCGGCAGUUGCUAGUGUUGCAACUAUCGAGCAUGACUCUGCUCUACUCUUCAUCCAUUUUUCAGCUUCUUCCAACAACGUUUUGUGCUCAUCGGUGAAUAACUCCCAUGGUGUUUUGCCAUCAUUAUUCUUCAUUUCUUUGAAAGAAGGUUUGACGAUGGUUUCCACCUCCUACCAAUUAAUAACAUUUUUAAUAAAAAUGCAAUAUUAAGAAGUAUAUAUAUACAAAAAUUCUUAGGUGCCAAUGUUUGCACUUCAUAGAAUGCAUACUUUUACCUUUAUAGUUAUAUCGAUGCAAAGUCUUUUACAGUAUUAUAAAAGGUCUUUACACUAAUGUAAGAGAGCGCUGUACUUGAGAAUAAUUAUAUAUAUGGGAGAGGUCCCUCAACAUAAGAUUUUGAUGUAACAAAGUAAAUUAAUUUUUUAUCCAUGAGAUUCACUCAAUCCUAUAUAUAUAUAUGUUUACAACGCUGUGGAAGUAUAUACAUACUGUUGUUAACUUGUUCCAGAUUUUAAUAAAAUCCAAAAUUUUGAAACUUAAGAACGAUCAUAUAACGACUCUAUAUAUGACACGAUUGAAUUAGGUAAAAAUAAUAAUACAAAUUAACUUCUUCCUCAAAAGUGUGUAGGAGGGGUUCCUCUUUGUUAUCAAAAGGCCAGCCAAAUGUACCUAGCUAUAAAUCAAGUAAUUGUUAACUACGACCAUAGUGAAAUAAUAAAUAAAACAUUUACCUUAAAAGUUAUUAAUUCUUGCUGCAUUUCUAGAGCUGCUCCGGGCACCUUACUGAUUGGUUUUGGAUUUGAAUAUUGUGCUGCUAGAUGCAGUAAGUUAUUACCAGACACAUCUACAUAUGUUGCUAUCAACUCCUUAUCAAAGCCCAUCUCAUAUAUUAGUUUGAAGGUAUCUGCAUGACGGUGCAUAACUGCAAUGUGAAAUAUGCUUCGACCAUUUUCAUCUAAUUGAUGAACCAAGUCAGGAUAAGAACGAGUGAGCACAGCCAAGAAUUUGAAGUUCCCCGAGUGAGCUGCAUCGAAUAAUAAUUUUGAAGGUUUACUGAUAAGUUUCAGGACGUCCUCGUGUGUGCUUUUUGAUAUUUCUUUCCAAAGACAUUUGACUAAUUCAAGUGCCUGAGUUGAAGAGUCUGUAUUGUUGGUGAUGAACUUUAUUCCUGGAACUGAAAGACAGAAAAUUACAAGUUAUCAUUUAAGAGCUCGCAGUAGUAAAUCAACAUGGUUUGCUAUCAAUACUCGAUCCAAUUUCUUAGCCUGAGGAAAACAUUAUUAUGCACAUGAUAAGGAACAUAUCCCACACUGAGAUUAGUUACAUCAGCUAAUAAUAUAAGCCUAACUCUUACUUUUUUACCUAACUUUCAAGGAUGAGUUAGACUCAUAUAAAGCUUUUAUAUGGUAGACUUAUGCACAAGUGAGCCACAAUAUCUUUGCUUAAAGCGUGACAAGUACUAAUAAAAAAGACUGGCUUGUAUAUAAUGGUGAUGAGGAACACGUCAUUAAUAGUGUUACUGGUCUAACCAACUCUUGAGGUAGUAACUCAUAUGCGCUAUCAUCAUUACUGUAGUACUAGCCUACUAGCGUAAUAUUUGAAGAGGGGAAAAUUAGUAUAUUUUGCAUGGUAAAUUAAAUUUUAUUUGUGUCUCUUGUCUUGUUUUGUAUCUUGUCUUGUUUUGUAUACAUAGAUAGGAGAGAAACUUAUAUAAGUCAAGCAUAUUGAAUCAGCAUAAUAAGUUGGUGCGUUUGACCAAUAAGAAUUUGUCAUUUGAGUAGGUUAAGUGAGACCCACCAACUUCAAUUACAAGAUUUUUAAAGUAAAACGUACCCACCCAUCCCAAACGACAAGAUUAUAUUGAUUGGUCUUACUACCUCAACAUCCUCACAUAGAUAGAUAGAGAUUGAAUAUAAUCACAACUUAUAUAUGUACUUUAAUUAAGCAUAAUUAAAACCUAAUUACCUUUCAACCAUCCCGGACAACUGCUGGUAAAUGCUGAGGGAUUUCUAGCGAACAUAUGCAUAGCUGCCCCGUAUUUCGCAUGAGUAGCCCCAGCUAGCAGCUUUUUAUUCUUCUUUAGCAAUUGCAGCGCCAAACCUGAGCAAUUCACUCAAAUGUUUUUGUAAAACAGCAGAAAACAUGACUCUUCAAACUGAUUUUGGUUCAACGAGGCGAUAAUAAUGUCAACACUGUAAGCACAUGCAUGACGAAGCCAAAAUAUAGAAUUUACAGUUAAAAGCAUGAAAAGAAAAGAAAAAUGAGCUAAUUUUUAGUUAAUAUUCUAAUUCUUUUUCGGCCUAGGAUUCCUACGCGUCAACAUGUUCAAAAAAUUAAGGUAAAUGGGAGUCAUACGUGUUGAUAAAAUAAAAUAAAAUUUUUUGUCUUGUUUCAUAUAGUAUAAAAAAGACCAAAAAAAAAAAAUUUGUUUGAUAACAACUUUAGGAAUUACUGACCCUUAGAACCACUUUAGAAUUGUGUCGCACUCAAUUAUGAAAUGUACGCAACACAUUUGGCCAUUUCUUAUUAGUUAUAAAAUAGUGCCGAACGGUUAUAAAAUUUUAUAAAUCAUUUAAACGGAUACAGGUUUCUCCUAAAAAGUUAGCUUUUCUUUGGGGGAUCAUUCAAUAAAAAGAAGAAAUUGAACAUAUUCUUACCAUACAAACCAGUUUCGAUGGACACAAAAAAAGUAUUUUCUAGGUCGUCUGGUUCCAAAUUGUCUUCAUUUUGACGAUAUAAAAAUGAUGCCAUUUUACUUUGCCCAAACAAAACAGCAAUGUAGAGCGGCGUCAUCUGCCCACCGCCUCGGAUUGUCAACAAAUUUGGAUUCCUUUACAGCAUAAACUGAGCGAUUUCUACACUCCCAACAGCAGCAGCGAAACAGAAUGCUGUGUUUCCAUUUUCAUCUUGCAACGUUAGCAAGUUGUCAUGGCCCGUCAAUUCUACCAUUUGCUUUACAAAGUUUGUUUGUUUUGCUCCUGUUGCAACGUGAAGAAUAGUUUGAUAUCCCUUUGUUACAGCUGCACGUACCAUCGACUGAUGAUCGUCUCCUAAUAUACGUUUUGCUUCGUUGCAGUCACCUUUUAAUGCAGCCUUAUAGAGAGGCACACAUUUGUGGCUGUACAGUUUUUUAUCUGCAACUCAAUUUUGGUGGGUCCAUGUUCGUAGCGUUCAUGCAAAAAUAAAACAAAUUAGACAUCCACUCUUCAAAAUAUAUCAAUUUAUAAUGCCUUAGUUUUAUCCUUUAACUGAAUGAAGGAAUCCCUUAUUGAAAGAUUACUAUAUUUAGGAAUAUGUUUAAGUGUGACGAGUACAAAUUCUUUCACAACUUUUGUAAAAGUGUGUUCUCACUUUAUAAUAAAGUGCAAAUAUCCGUAUCUGAGCAUAAUUUUUCGAAGAGGAAGCUCUCAUUUUACUAAAAUAAAAAACAAACUAAAAGAUAGAAAAAAAAUACAGUUUUCAAAGCAAUGUUUAUUGUCUUUAAUUUUAACAGAUUAAAAUUUAUAUUUUUCUAUGUUUUAGCUCGGUUCUCAUUUAUUCCUAAUUAAAAAUGGACUCUAUAUGCUGAUAAGCCAAAAUGGUAUGCAUGAAUGUUAAUGUAUAAGAACUCACCUUGAAGUAGAUGAAGGGAUGGCAAGUUGAAUUGAGAUGAAGUACCACCCUGGUUUGUGUCUGAGUCAGGGGCCUGAGUGGAAUUAGAAUUUAUAUCUGGCGUUUGGAUUGAAGAUGAAGAAGAAGUUGAAUGCACAAUGUUUGCCUCCAGAAGUCCUAUACAUGUAUAUGUAUGUAUACAUAUAUGAAGAUGUGUCAUUGUUUCUUUUUUGCAACAGUUAAUAGUUACAUCUUUUGUAAUUAAGGAUUAAUGGUGCUUGAAAAAGCUGAAUCACACAUAUAACAAGAACAAAGUCAGUAGUGCUUAUACUCGACUCUUAAAUUACCAUUUUGGAGGGGUUGUACAGAAUUAGCCGCAUCUCCGUCUGGUAUUGAGAUACUAACUUCUUGCUGCGAUGCAGGAGCUACAUUGGUACGUCUUCUCUCCAUUUCUUCCGAAGCAACGUCAUUGGUCACUUUAAAUAAUUAAUGCACCAUAUAAACAUGAAGUACUGAUGCAAAGCAGGACAGACAACUAUUAUAGUAAAGACACUUUAUCUAUUCUACGAAUAUCUUAUUUGAUAUAUUUUCAUGUUAGUAGUUUUAUUGUCUAAUUGUUUUGUUUUAGUGGAUUUGCAAGCCUAGGUCACAUGCGAGGCUUGGGUUAUAUAUUAAUAUAAAUAAGCGUAUUUUAUACCUUUAAUUUAAAAUCUGACUAGUGACUUGAGAUUUGUUAUUAAUACUUUCUAUAUAAUAAAUUUAAAUUUCGAUCGGUCUUGUUAUUUCUUGGUAUUAUGUGAAUUAAGGAGACUUAAUUGCCUAAAUUCGUGGAUACUCUUAUAAUCAGCGAGAAUUUUUAUUUCAGUGCUCUUAUAACCAACAAAGUUUUGAAAAUAUCCGUAUUAAUCUAUCACCAUACAUCAAUUUAUCCUUUUGCCGCCGAAAGAUUUGCUGCAGGGGGUCCAUGGAACACGUUGCAUCAAAGUAUAGAGUAAACUUACUCCUUGUAAGUAAAUAUAGCAAUUUUUUUCUUUGACUAAUCAUGUUAAUUAUUUUUCCAUUACUAAAACAAUUCUCCAUUGCUAUUAUUAUUAUUAUUUUUUACAUUCAUUCUCUUAUAUAUAUGCAUAGAGAGAGAACUUAUUCGAGAAGGAUUCAGUACUUUAAUGAAAUGCGAGAUGAUCUUUUACAAAAAAUAAACUAUUUAUAGCAUUGUAAAAAAUCUAUUCCAUUUUUUUUUAAUUGCGAGAUUUCUUUUUAGAAACUCAAUAUAGAAGUAUGUAUAUAAUCAGCUUUUAGUUCUAGAUCUUGUUUACAGCCAUCAUGAAUUGUCUUUUUCACACAUUUACAACUUUUUAACAUUGUUACUCAAAUAUAUAGGGGGGAGAGAGAGACGAGGAGCUUAAUUACCUCAUUUGACUCUGGGGCUUGUGUCGAAUUAUGUACUUCUAAAGUUGUGAUUGAAGAUGAUCCAUAUUCUAUAUCUGAAUGAUGCAUUGAAUUGACAUCGCUUGCCUCCAUACACAAAAGUUAAUGAUGCAUAAAUUAAUAAAAGUUCAUGCAUAACUCUCUUACUACAUCUAUAUCAAGCAAAAUUGUACUAAAAGUUAAUAACUUUGAAUUGAUUUAAAGUAUCAGUUGAUUAUAUUCAACAAGGAUAGUAAGUUCAGAAAUUAUUUGUAUAUUUAUUAAAAAUUAUCUAUUCCAAAAUCCUGAAGUAGGUAAGCACUAUAUUUAUAUACCCCAUAAAAUUUUCAUUAAGAGGAAGACAAUUUACCCAAAAAUUAAAGAAAAAAGAAAAAAAAAAGCAUAUGGUAAUGUAGAUGUCCUCACAAAAUUAUCAAUCUAUGUAGCUAGGUACAUAUUGACACAAACAAAUUUGACGCUUUCAGUGAUGGUCGAACAAUAACCUGAGUAACUGAAGAUAUGUAACUUGAAGAACUUGUAGAAAGAAUAUUUGAAUAGUGUUGGUCACCACCAGAUUCUGUUUUCGUUUGAGAAGACUUAUCCUUAAUUAACUAGUAAUUAACAUUCCAUGGUAUGCCAGUAUAUAUAGAUCCUUCCUGAUGUGCUUACUUCAAUCCUAAUUAAGGUGGGGUGACAGAAAUAAAGAAUUAAGAACAAUUGAUGUUCCUUUAUUCGAUCCUUGAACAAAUGCUCUCUCAGAUAUAAUAAUUAAAUAAUAUGAGCACUAUCAUUUAGCUUUAAUUUCACGUGGGGUGACUCCCCAAUUGAACCAUACUUUCGGCGCAGAUAAAAAAGAACCCACGGUAAGUGGUUUUGCCAAUUUAUAAGAAGCUCUCUCGUAUAGGUUUGUUUACUCAGUGAUGGAAAAAUUCUCAGGUGCGGUGAUAUGAUUAUUCAAAUUAUUUCUUAGAUUUUUUUUUUUAAUUUAUAUUUCUCGUUUUAGUUGUUAUGUGUACUUCGGCUUAAUAUUUGUGUUAGUUAUCAGUGUUUCUUGAUCUUAAGAAUUGGAUUAUUUUACUCCUAUUCUUUAAUUAGGUUUAAGUUUCAUAUGAAAGUUAACCAAUUAUUUAAACUAGCACUAUCAUCAUCAAUAACAACUCUACAGUAUUGAUUGACAACUAUGGUUAUCUAUUAGUGGUGUUGGUCCUUUAAAGCACCAAUAACAUCUUUAGGAGAUCUAAAUUUCCUCAAAUUUACCUAUCUCUAUCUUUUCUAUUUUUAUUUUGUUUCAGUUUUCAUUACAGACAAUUUGUGUCCAAAAUAUACCAACAUUUGCAUUUCAUGAAAUACUGACACGACUUUCAUAUAACAUUGGAAAACACCUUUAUUAUAUUGUAUAAGCCUUUAUCAACAUUACAAUGAACUUAAAAUUUUGUGCGGGUACAGUACUAGAUAAUGACUCCUUCGUGGCGAUCGAGUAAUCAACUUUAGACUCCUCAUGAUUCACUGUUGCAAUAAAGGCAUAAAGCUAAGAGGAGAGGCUAUGGGCAAUGCACUUUUAAAUAGCUUUAAUUAAUUUGAAGUGGGUCGGAAUCUAUUUAAAACCUCUUAAUUAAUUAUGCUUAAUUUGGAGAGGGUUGCAUGUGAGCACAUCAUGUUAUAAACGUAGCUACAAGGAUUAAUUAUUGCACCUUCACUCAGAUUCUUUGACCAUGUUCAUUUCAUUACCUUCAAGGAAAUUGCCGCUAUGCUUACACAACAACUCAAUGGUCUUUGUAUAACGAAAUUAAUAGUAAGUCUUUACAUAAGGAAAACGUCAGCCACCACCUCAAUGUUCACAAAAAUUUCUUAAUUUCUUAAAUAAUAACAUAGAUUUUUCCUUUUUUUUUUAACUAUUAUACCCUUUAGUUAUAACAACAAAAAAUUGACUUUAAAUAAAUUUUUAGAGUAAAUACGAAUAAAAAUUAAAAUAAUAUAAUAUAUGAAAUAAUGAAAAUUUAUAAAUUAUUUUCAUUAUUAAAUUUUUUUAUUAAUAUGUCAUUUUUUAAUAAUUGUAAAAAUCUUUUUGACAAAUUAAAAAUUUUAAAUUAAUUAUAUUUAACAUUCAAAAUAAUUUAUAAAAUUUAUAUUAUUUUAUUUACAAUUUUUAAUUAUGUCUGUAUUAAUAUAAAUCUUAAUGUCAAUUUUAGGAUUAAUAGAUUUUAGUAUUAAUAAAAUUAAUUAGGAUGGACUAAUAAUAGCUUAAUACUAAAAAUAAUUUUCAUUAUAUAUUUGAUAUAUUAUUAAUUAUACUUAUUGAACUAUUUUAUUUGUAUUAUACAAUAUUUUAUUAAUUAUUUUUAUCUUAUUAAUAUAUAUAUAUAUAUUAGUAUUUAUUUUGACUAUAAUCAAAGGGUAUAACAGUUAAAAAAACUUUUAAAAAAAAUGAUUUUGUAUGACCUUAUAUAAAAUCAAUGGGUUUGUGUGAUCAUUUAAACAAAAACUACGGGUGUGGGUGACUUUUUCCCCUUUAUAUACUUAUGUUGCCUUUCACUGACUUGGUCUUGGUCUUUAAGCGGAUUAAUUGUCGUAUCAAGCAAUCGAGUUACACUUUUCUUUCUGUUUCAAAUAUGGGCAUAUAUCUACCAGGAAAAGAGAAAUGAUAAGAACUAACAGUUAAGUUCUAAUUGGGCAUAUAUCUACCAGGAAAAGAGAAAUGAUAAGAACUAACAGUUAAGUUCUAAUUUGAAUCUUGAUUAAUAUUUUAUUACAAAAACUUUAGUCAUUAAAGAAGAAAAUUAGUCACCUUAUAUUUUUUAUGACGAAAAAUAAAUAAUUUUACGAUAUUCGUGAAAACACCGUCUUAAAAAGUUCUAACGACUAAAAUUAUUUUUGUCAUGUUAAAAAUAUGUUUUUGUGACAAAAAUAAUUGUCUUAAAAUUAAGUUAAAAUUUUCACAAAUGGUAUUCAAAAUGGUCAAAUUGGAGAUUUAAAAAUGCAAUCAAUAGCACUUCACAUUUGUCAUGAUAUGUGAUUUAUAGUGACAAUAAUUUUGUCUCAAGGGUAUGUAAAUGAAGUCACAACAAUUACUAAAAAUCAUCAUUUUAGAGAUUCGAAGAUACAAUCAGCAAUGCUAUUUUUCUGUCGUUGAAGUUUACAUAUCGCGUCGUUACAUAAUCGUCGCAAGUAGUUGUCAUUUGUGACAAGUUUUGCAAAUACAAUUGGUAAUUAUUUUAGUCUCAAAUUUAUUUUAAGUACAAUUUGUUUUACCAUUUCAUGACUAUUUAUAUUGUAUCAACAAAUUUUAAGUGACCAUUAUCUCUUAUCAUAAAAUGUAAGCAUUCGCAACUAUAACAUUUAGUCAGAAAAUUUAACAUGUUGCAACGGAUUCUUUCAUUGCAAAAUAUAGGUAAUAUAGUCUCAAAUUAUUUUUAAGCAUAAUAUACUUUAUUAUUUAAUGAGUAUUUAUAUUGUAUUUGAAAAGUUAAAAUGACUACUUCCAAUUGUCAUUAAAAGAAAGCAUCCAUGACAACAUAUUGUAGUCACAUAAAUAUUUAGUGACCAAAAAAUUUUGAUUCAAAAAACGUAUUCCAUGAAAAUUACUUUCGUUUCAAAUGAAAAUCAAUAUAGUCUAACAUAAUUUUUAAGGAAGAUGUAUUUUAUUAUGUUACAACUGGUUACAUCGUACUAGAAAAAUUGGUGUGACUAUUGAAUACAAGUGUAGUCAUUAAUAAACAAACCAACAACAAUGAGACUAACAUAAAAAAAGACUUUAAAAUAUUUAUUUAUAAUCCAAAAGAUUCGAACACAAAGCAUAACAUUGGAAUAAUCCAAGAUCAAAAGAAUGUGUAAGUGAAAACAAUAGUUGCUCUUUGAUUAAUCUCAUGAAAUCUUCAACUACCUGUAGUCUAUAAUCUUGUUUCUCAAUCUUUUUUUGCUUGCUCCUUAAUCGUCUUCGCCAUCUUUUGAUUUUAUUGAGACAAUUCAACGGUGGAUGCUGACUUUGAAGGACCUGUCAUUUUCUUCACAAAAUCAGAUUUAUUUCCCAAAAUGAUUUCAUAAAUUUGAUUAUCAAUUAAUGGCUCAACACUUUCCUCGGCAUUGGAGUUUUUUCUUCAUUUCUAUCAUUUAGUCCUGCAUAAUUAGAAGUUGAAAAAUUAAUAUACCUUUAAAAAUAAUAAGAGAAUCAUGUCCUUAUUGAAUAAUAAGCCCCAUUGACUAAGAAUAAACAAAUAGUAAAUAGCAAGAUCGAUAGCACUUGUAAAAUAUAUGAGUGAAAAAAUAACACAAAGUAAGAAUGAAACAUUAACUAAAUUUUUCAAGCAAACAUGUUCUCAAUCCCAAAUAUACUUUCCAUUCAAAAUAAAUAUGUAAAUUUAAUUUCUACAAUUAAAUGUAAAUAAAUUGGAAUAACUUACAUAUUAAGCAUUUUGCUUCCAUACUACUCCACCCGUUGGCCUCACUCUAGAACAUCUUUUGAAACAAAGCAAUCAAUCCAGUAGACUCUUCAAGCAUUUCCGUCUUCCUAAUACAAAAGAAGAAAAGCAUUUUAAUAUUUAUAAACAUGAUACAAGCACAUAAUAGAAAAAGUUAAAACAAAGUCUCCAUCAUUUCGAGUACCAUUUCAUUCAGAUAUUGCACAUGAGACUUUGAUCCACCACGAUGUACAGAAGACACUUUACUAUGAUUCUGUUUUUUUUUUUUUCUCCUGAAUUUAGUUUAGUGGCUCUAAAGAAUAAAUUACAUAAAAGCUUGUUUCUAUAGAAUAUUAUAUUACACCAAUUUUUCAAGAAUUACCAUAUAGAAUGAUACAUGAGACCCCGUAGAUAAAAGAAAAAUAAUGUAACACUUGAACCAUAUAUAAAAGCAUAAGAAAAAAGAAAAAGGAAAAAAAGAUGCUAUAUGUAUCAUCUUCUUCUAGUUAAACAAUAUAAACAGAAUAAAAAUAUUAAUAAAUAUACCAAAACCUUCAAAAUUUUCUAAACAUUCAAGUGGUUCAGAUUAGAAAAAUAAAUAAAUUUACAAGAAAAUCAAGUAAGUGUAUUCGUUGCGGUAUUUUAUCAAAUAAUUGGCGUGCAGCAACGUAAAUAACAAUAAAAACAUGCAAGCUUUGUACUUUGAAAACACUCCUCCAUUAUUCAUCCAUUAUAGGGCAUGCACGUUGCUUCUUUUAUAUGCAUCCCCAUCGUUCUAUUAUUUUCAUGCUAUCCAUCCAAACCAUUAGACACAAAGGGUAAAUUAAAAAAAAAAAAGAAUUCAAGGGAAAAAGCAUUUAACUUUGACUCCUAAAAAAUCAAGUGAAUACCAGGAAAAAAAAAAUAGUUAAUUGACCAGGGAUUGAUGCAGAAUAAAACAAAAAUAAGAGUAUGACCUAUCAAAAAAAUGAUCAAUAGGGAGCAGUAUACUAGGAAAUAAACAAGGAAACAGGCCCCCCAUAUAGCAAAACGUUUCUUCACCUUCCCUAUGGAUUCUCAUAGAGUUAUUUGCAAUUCUUCCAAACAAGGGAAGUAAGUGGAAACUAAAUAAAUAAAACUAUGAAGUAAAAGAAAUUUAUAAUACUAUAAUUGAAUGCAUUGUAUUAUGAUACAAGCCUGGAACUAAUGAUAAGUCUUGGCUUUAACUUGAACUACUUACAUAUUGGGUGAUCUUCUUGAAAAUGCUACGCUCUCAGAGAGGACAAAUGAUGCACAUAACAUCCAUUUUCCUGGAACAAAAGACGUACCCUUCGCAUUUCUACAUUAAUUGCAACCUCAGCAAGAGCGAUUCUUAUGCACUGCCGUGAACCAAAAAAUAAAUAAGGGAUACAUAUAAACCCAACAUUCCAUUAAUUCACAAACAUAUAUAUGGAGGGGAAAUUCAGUACUAAACCUCGUGAAAAUCAAACUCCGGAGGCUUUAGAGAAUCCAUGGGCAUGAAUCUUUGGAAAGGUGAAUUUUGUAUCUUCGGGCCUAUCUCUGUAGAUUCCUCUGAAUGCAUCAGCCCAUGAAAUGCGAGGUCAAAGUUUCGCGCAAAAUAGUCCAAUAUCAGAUUUAAAAAUAAUCAAUUGACCAACGAACUUGUAGCCUAAGGUUGCCUUGAUUGAAAACAAGCACUCCAUGGCAGCCUCCUCAAGAUUUGUUUUGAUUAACUGAUUUUAAGUAAUAAGAGGAGGGAUACGGAAGAAAAAAGGGGUUUUCGGAGAUUAGCAGAGACAAGAAAGGUAGGAAUUUAUAAAUUUUUUUGUAUCAAGUAAAAUAUUUUGGGCAAAAUAUAAGACAAGCGCUUGUUUUCUUUUUAGGAGGUUUAAUUUUUUUUUUUUUUUUUUGAUAUUAAUCACGAGGUAUCUUGAGGAGGGCCCCAACUGUGGGAGGCACCUUUAAGCCCGUACCACAACCCAGACUAGAAGUCCCCGCUCGAACCGGGAGGCACAGGUUCUCCCAACAAAAGCGACUUCCCUGCGACUCGAACUGGGGAGCAAACCCAGUCAAGCCACUUAAGGGGACUCCAUUGCCAGUGGAGCCAACACUUUGUUGGUAAUUUUUUUUUUUUCUUUGAUAACAUUUGUAUACUAUCACCAAAUUAAUGUUUCCUUUUGCGGUGCCAUGUGGCACGCGCAACACUACUUAGUGGGAUACAUAGCAUUUAACAUUUACGACUAAUUGAAUAAUAACUAUAACAAAAAUAAAAUUUUAUAAUUGGGAUAUUUAAUUGUAGCAUUUUUUUUUAAGGAAAUGCUAUCAUAGUUGACAUUUAAUAGCGUUGUGAAAAAAAAAUGCUACCAAAAGAAGUGAUAUUUUUUGUAGUGUUUAAAUAUUAGGGACUGUUAUUAAAUUUUUUUUACAAUAUAUUAAAAUUGUCCGCUUGAUUAGUAUUGUGGCUGUGAUAGCAUCCCGUAUCAGUAUUAGUUCGAUCAUUGCCUCCAGCAACUUAAUUAAUAGUCUAAUUAUUAUCUAAUUUGACCACAAAAUCUUAGUGGUCAUUUUUAUAUUUUCUACUAACAUACAUGAAUUUACAGUAUUAAGGUAAUAAUCCUACAUAUUAAAAAUGUUUAAAAGACUAUGACAUCCUUAAUUCAAAGAUAAAUUAUAUUAGUUCGAGUUAUAUUAAAAUAAAUAAAUCUUACAAAAAAAGGAAAAUAAAUCAAUACUUAAUAAAAUAAAGGGUAAAGUUCCAUCCAUCCCUUGGAUGGAAUAAUUUACCCCCCUAAAAGUAUGAAAACUUUAAUUUACCUCUAAUUUUUUAUCAGAAGAUGAGGGCAAAUGGGGCAUGCAUCAAUGAUUUUUUGUUUUAAUCAAAGUAAAUGAUGUCUCUAAAUUAGUGAAAGAGCUUCAAAGAAUAAUGCUUUGUGCCUCAAAUGGUUAGGCCAAAUUCGUAUUUUUUCUUAGUUACAAAACAUUUUCAUAGCCUAUAAUUAUAUUUCCCCGCCCUGUAUUUUCUCAUAAGAGAUGAUAUAUUAUCCCUAAAUGGUUAAAAAAAAAAAUUCUUUUUGUGACUAAUAUAAUGUUGUCACUAAAAUUUUAAUCAUAAACUAAGUAAAAUUUCAUUGAAACAAAAUAUUUUGAUCACAUUAUGUAACUAUCUGUGACAACAAAAAUGGGGUUUUAAAAUUAGCUAAAAUCAUAAUAGAUUUAGAGACUAAUAUUUUAUGCCAUGGAUGAUUUGAUCAAAUUUACACCUCUUUUUUAGGUACGAAGUAAAUUUGAAAAAAGAAAAAAUAUUUUGCCCCUAUAUGAUUUGUCAUAAAAGAUGGUAUAUUGUCCCGAAAGAGUUAAUUUUGAAGAGACUUUUUUAUGCUAUAAAAAAAUGUUUUUUUGUGGAAACUAUAAAAUUUGGGACAAAAAAAAUUGAAUCAGGUACUAAGUAAUGCAUAUCAGAAACAAAAAAAAAAUUGGUCAUAAAAUAUAAAUUUAUUUACGAUAAAAUUUUCAACUACUAUUUUUUAGUUUUGUCACUUUAGGAAAUGAUGUAUGACAAAAAAAAUAUGGUCUUAAAAUCAAUCAAAACCAUAAUAACUUUAGAGACUAAUAUUUUAUGUCACAAAUAGUUUGACCAACUUUAAACGCCUCUUGUAGUUACAAAAUAGUUUUGUCACCUAUAAUUAUAUCUCGUGACCAUUAUUUUUUUCAUAAAUGACGAAAUAUUGUCCCAAAAUAUUCAAUCUGAGAGGGAAAUUUUUGCACCAAAAAAUAGAUUCAUUUUUACGACUAAAAUAAUGUUUGUUAUAAAAAAAUCAAAUUAGUGACCAAUUAACAAGUCUCAAAAUAAAACCUAUCGGUUACAAAAUAUAACACAAAUCAAGAUGAGACUAUUAGUAACAAUUUCAAAAGUUUGUCAUAAUAAGUACCAUUCAGUGACCAAAUUUAAAAUUGCUGUAAAAAAUAUCAUCUUAAAAAGUCAAAUUUCUUGUAGUAACAUUCAUCUAUUAAAUAAUGGUCAAGUAAUUUUAUAAAUUAUGAAGUUCAUCAUUUAAUAAAUGAGUAACACAUAGUAUUAAGACUCAAGUUGGAACUUAGACAUUGGAACCUCUAACAUUAUUGUUAAGAAAAACACAUAAUAUUAAUGGUUAAAUUUAUUACUGAAUUGGAAAAAGAGAUCCAGACAAAGAGAUGAGAAAAAAAAAAAAAGCAUAUUGAUUCCAUUCCUAUCAUCACCAUAACUUGAAAGUCUCUUACUAGUUUGCAUUCCAUAAUUGAUGGCAAUGAUAUUUGUCGUAUUUUCAUCAUAAUUUGCAAAUGAUUCUUGCCAUAAUAUACAUGAUAUAAUUGUUUUGAUUUUGGGUUAGAUUGAUAGGGGUGGGUAUGGGUUUGGUUGGAUAACCACUAUUAAAUAAGUUUAAAAUAAAAUGAAUCCAGCCUAACUAAAUAAACAUGUUCAGCAUAAUCUAACACAACCCUUAAAUGAUCAGAUUGAGUUGGGUUGGGUUGUUUGAGUUGAAAAUCAAAUCAAAAUUAAAAAUUAAAUAAAAAAUGAUAUCGAAAUUGAAAUAAAACUUAUUAUAAUUGAAUAUAAAUUUAUUAUAACAUGAAAUUUUCAUUUAUUGUCUAGUGUUCGAUUAAAAAAGAAGAAGCUAAAAAACCAAUUGUCUUAAAUUUAAGAAAAUUUCUAUAAAUGAACUCAAUAUUACAAGUUGAAAAUACAUAAAAAAGGAUUAAGUAUGAAUAAAUGAAAAAAAAUGCCUUACUUUAAAUGGGAAAUGGGUUUUGAGAGAGUGAUUUUAGUUUUGAAAUUGGAGUCUAAAGUAGUAAAUAUGGGAAUGAAAUAAUCUAUUUAAUAAAAUAAUAAAAAGAGGAUAAAAAUGAGGUUAGUUGUUUAGAUCAUUAGGGUUUUGCAAUUGAGGAUUAAUAUAUUUUUAUUGUUAUGAUUAUUAAUUACGUGGGCUAGGUUGGGUUAAAUGUAUUUAUCAUAAUUAAUCUAACUCAACGCAAUAAUUUAAUUGGAUUGAGUCCGUUGAGUUGUAUUGGGUUUGUCUACCCCUAAUAAUCAUUUUGAUGGGGAAUAAACUUUAGUGAUAAAAAAAAAGAAAAAAAAAAUAGAGAUACACUCACCAAAUGUAUAGAGAAAUUAAUUUUAACAUUGGAUAUGAUAUCAUCCAAUUAACUAAUUUUUAGCCUCAUUGCAAGGUACAUAAGGUAUCGACCAUGUACAUUUUUGUUCACAAUCUCUAACAACAACUAUUAUAGUAUAUAGUAUAAUAGAAAAUUGCUUCUUGGAUUACUUAAUACAUGCUGCUUACUGUAAUAGAAAAUUACUUUUUGGAUUACUGAUGGGAAUAAACUUUACUACUUUAGUAAUAAAAAAAGGGGAAAAACUAGAGAAACACUCGCCAAAUUUAUAGAGAAAUUAAUUUUAACGUUGGAUAUGAUAUCAUCCAAUUAACUAAUUUUUAGCCUCAUUGCAAGUUACAGAAGGUAUCGACCAUAUACACUUUUGUUCACAAUGUCUAACAACAACUAUUAUAGUGCAGUAUACAUUAAGUAAUCCAAUAAGCAAUUUUCUAUUAUAGUAUGCAGCAUGAAGGAAAAAUAAAAAAUUCUAUAAAUACCUUUCUUUUUUAAUUAAACAGCGGAGUAAUCGAGUAUUGGAUCACGUUAAUGGUCAAAAAUAAAUCACAAGCGGAAAUCUUUCAUUGAUCACAAUAUAAAUGUCCUAUUUAUGAAUUGUUCAAUGUUCUUAAUUUUAAUCUUCACGAAGAAGAGAAGAUGAUUUUGUAAUUUUUAUGUAUCUUUGUUCUUGUUCUUAUCAUUAGAGAGAGUUUAGCCAAAGUAGAGGAAGUUAAUUUAAAAUUACCUUCCCUCUCAAUCUUCAUAAACCGUACAUGUAACUACAUGGUAGUUACAUGUGCAGGUCAGAUGGGCCUACCCCACCCAUCCAACAUCUCCCACUCGCACAUUGCGGGACGACGUCGAAAUAGCAGAGCAAUGAACAAGGAAAUAAUGAAUAACCACAUAUCUUCAAGCAUACAGAUAGAUAUACCGUGUGACCAUGAAUAUAUCCAAAAACUCAUUUGGUGAGUCAAAAUCAUUUCUCGAUUGCUAACUCAAGUAAGAGAUGUCUCAAAUGCAAUUGUAUGCAAGAGAAUUUAAAAAUAUGUUCAUUGUAUCCUAAAUUUAAUUUAUUUUAAUACUCAAGCAUACUAAAUCCCCUCAGUAUGCUAAAAUUGCGUAAUCACUUUAUGUAUUCACAAUUGUAAUAUCCCAAAGAUAUUAUACAAAUUAGUCAACUACUGAAUCACAUAAAAGAAAAAUUAAAUCUUCCCAUCACACUCAUGUCCAUCAAUUCAGAAUAGUUGCUUUCUAGUCAUGUUUCAUAGACUGAUUCAUGCCAAGGUCAUAGAUAGUAUGCUAAAAUAGCAAACACCAGUCUAAGAUCUCAGAAACAUUGUUCAUAGUCAUAAGGAUAUCAGGAUUGACUUAUGGAAAGUCAUAUGGAACUUACACAAUGAGGAAGAAGGGAGAUUUUCUCAUUUUAUAUUUUGGUCACUAAGCACAUGUGGUAUGAUACAUGUGUUACAGUAAAUCUUACAUUUUAGGGCGUAUGUCUUAUUAUAUUAAUUCACUGUGCAUAUCUUAGUCCAGUCACUCUUCUAGAGUGCCUGACCUAAGUUCUUAGAAUGAAUGCUCUCCUUUAGCAUAAAAAAUAAGAUCUCACAUAUGGUUUUAUUCAGGUCUCCAUGAUAGUGGGGUACAUCAUAGUCGGUUUUUGAUAAAAAUCGCGUAAGACCUCAUAUUGAUUCUAAUCAAGGUGACAAAACUUGUAGAAUAACUCUUUUAGGCUCUCAAACAAACACAUUGUUUUAUUAUUCUAAUUGUCUCAUCUUAGCUUGCUCCCAGAGCAACUGAGGUGACUACUCAUGUAAGAAAGCCGAUCUUGACCAAUAGACAUACUUUUAUAUGUGUAAUUAUGCAUUUCAGAGAAUAAAUUGAAAUAAGAGAUACUAUUACAUUUUCAAACAACUUAUGUAAUGAAGAUGUUCACAGCAAAUAAGUACAUUUUAAUAAUAUUAAUUUACAAUCUAUGCAGCCCCAAUGAUUUAGCAUGAGAGGCGAAUACAUCCCUCGUUACAGCUUUGGUAAAUGGAUCAAUUAUCAUUCUAUACGUAGAUAUAUACUAUAUGACAACUUCCUUAUUUUCCAAAAUGUCUCUUAUGAAAUUAUAUUUAGUCUCAAUGUGUUUCGACUUUCUAUGGUUUUUAGUAUCCUUAGAGAAAGAGAUAAUAGCUUAACUGUCACGAUAGACAGUCAUUAGAUUAUCGUUGCUCAUAUUAAUCUCUAAGUCCUCUAUAAAUCUCUUAAGCCAUAUAGCUUCUUGCACUGCUGCAGAACAUGCAAUAUAUUCGGCUUCCAUCAUUGAUAAAAUCGUGCAUGUUUGCUUCUUGUACUCUAUGUUAUUACUCCUCUGUUUAGCAAAAAUACAUAUCCUGAAGUCGAUUUGUGCUCAUCCAGAUCACCACCCUAAUUGGCAUCUGAAUAUCUAACAAGUCGCAAACAACCUCCUUGAUAGCAUAAACAAUAAUUUGCAAUGCUUUUGAGAUAUGCUAAAAUCCUUUUAACAACACUUCAAUGCUUAUGACCAAGACUAGUAGGGGUAGGCGCGGUUCGAUUCGGUUCAUUUUUUUACUAAAUUUUUCAUAAUCGUUCGAUUACGAUUAUUUUAAAAUCAUAAUCGAUAUUAAUCAAAUUACCGAAAUAAUCAAAUACUCGAUUAAUCGAAAUAAUUCGAUUCGAUUCGGUUUGAUUAUUUCGAUUAUGGGCCUAUUGGACUUAUUUUGGGUUUUUAUAAAUUUAAAACCUUAAAUUAAUAAAUCUACCAAAACAUAAAAAGUUAACAAAAAAAAAUCAAAAUAUGUCUCAAAGUAUGUUCAAGAACAAAUAUGUUCAAAUAAAGACCCGUACAUAAAAGAUAAAAAUUUAUUUAAACAAACGAUUUGUUUCUUAGUUAAAAGUUUUUAAUCUUUUACUGCUUUUAUUAUUAUCCCAAUUUUCGUGAUUGUUGGUACAUGUGUCAAAUCAUAGGUGGAAGCCUCUAAAAAAUAAAAAUUAACCAAAAAAUCAAUUAAGAUUAUAGUUUGAUUAAGGAUCCAUAUAGAGUUAGUUAGCCGAACCAGCUGGAAAAUGUUUUUGUCUGAACCUGUUGCAGAAAAUUAGUACUUGCUGGCGUUUUUGAUUAAUUAAUUUAGUUAUGAAUAUACAAACUUAAAAAGUCAUGAAUGAGACAUAUUUGAACUUACUUUAGACCUUUAGUUUUCAUCAGUAGUAAAGACAGCACCAACAAUUCACAGCACCAGCAUUUAGUUAUGAACUUGCUUUACGUGCUCUGGAAAAUAUCAGUGAAUCCAGCAACUCACCGCACACUAUAGAGAACAUUUUCAAACACAGCUCUAAGAUAUAAAAAUCAUGAUCAAUCUCAACAGUAUCCAGUUUGCGAUUUGGGAAAAGAAACUGAAAAUACCGAAAAAAAUCAAUCAUUCAAUCAUCUUUCAUCAAAGAAACAAACCAUAUCUCACCCAAAUGGGGGAAAAGAAAAAACAAAAGAAUGAAUCAAAAAUCAAAAAUCAAUUUUGGUAUACAAAUUAGUAGUCCUGGGUAUAACUAAAUACAACAUCUCAAGUGAACGAACCUCAACAAAUUACGAAACGAAACACGAAACAAUCAGCAGCAGCUCAAGUUAUUGGUUUUUAUUCUCUGCAAAAACAGAACAAACCAGACAAAAACGGCAGCAAUAUUUACAUAACUCAAGCACAUUAACAAAAACAUGGGAACGAGGAAAAAGAAAUGAACUUUAAACCAAAUUCAUAAAACCGAAACGAAAAAUGGAACCUUUUUCGUUCGAUUUUUUGUUCUGCUGAGAGAUAUUGUUGACAAAAACAAAAGAAUCUUUGCGGUGAGCACUGAGCGCACUGUAUUCAGACAAAUAAUGGCAGCAGGGGAGCACCGUGACAGCAGCAACGAGCAGCGGUGACGACUGACGAGCAGUGGCGACAACGAGAUUGCAGCGACGGCGACGAGCAACGGGGAUGAGAUUCCAGCAGCUGAAGGUGCUGCGGGUGAAGGUCACGAGUUCAGCCUUGUUUAGUUUAGACUUAUGAUUUUAGGGAUUGUUAUUUGACAUUCGGUUUAUUUGAUAUCCGGUUUGGUUUUUUGGUUUUUUUUUUUUAAAUCGAAAACCGAACCGACUGGUUUUACUAUUUUUAUUAUAUAACUCAUUCGGUUUUUUGGAUGUAAAAAAACCACACAAAAACCAAACUGAUUUUGAUUAAUCAGGUUUUUUUGCCCACUCCUAAAGACUAUACUAGUUAUACUCACCAGUCCUACAACAUAACUGAUAUAAAGCCUUGUACACAUUAUGGCAUACAUGAGACUUCCAAUAGGAUUUGCAUAAGGAACUCUAACCAUUCUUUCCUUUUCUUGAGGAGUCUUGGGACACAUAUUGAUAAUAAGAGAUUGUCUUUUGGCUAUAGGGUAUCAUUUGGCUUACAAUUAGCCAUGUUGAAUCUUUCAAAGAACUUCUUAAUGUAAGACUUUAGUGACAGAGCUAGAAGUUUCCUCGAACGAUCCUUGAAAUUUUUUACUCCUAAAAUAUAAGUUGCUUCACCUAUAUCUUUCAUGUUAAAAUUUGAAUGUAGUCGAUCUUUAAUAUUUUGACAAACCUUUGACUGUUCGGUACCAAUAAAAUAUCAUCCACAUAUGAAGACAAUAUCGCAAAAACGUCUUUAGACCUCUUAAUGUACACAAAUGGUCUUCCUUAACCAUCCUAAAGCCAUAAGAAACUACAACUUGAUGGAAAUUAAGGUUUCAUUCUCUAGAGGAUUGCUUAAGGCCAUAAAUAGAUCUUUUAAGCUUGUAUACAUUGUGCUUUUGGCCUUUAACAAUGAAACCCUGUGGUUGUUGCAUGCAUAUAAAUUUCUUUCUCUAGUUUUCCAAUGAGAAAUGCAAUUUUUACAUCCAUCUAAUAUAAUUCAAGGUCUAGAUGUGCAACAAUAGCCAAGAUUAAUCGUAUGGAAACAAACCUUACCACAAGAGAAAAUGUCUCUUCAUAGUCUAUUCCCUCCUUUUGGGUAUAGCCUUUAUGGACUAAUCUUACUUUAUAUCUCUCUAUUGUCCCAUCCGCUUUACAUUUUAUUCGGAGAACCCAUUUGUUUCCGAUAGUUUUAUGAUUAGACAAAAGUUCAUCCAAGUCCCAGACCUAAUUAACUUUCAUAGACUCCAUCUCUUCUUCCGUAUAUCUCCAGCAGACGAUGUGAGAGCUUUAUUAAAAGUAUUUGGCUCCUCACUAUCGUGUAAAGAAAUCAUGAAAACUUCUCCAUUAAUCUCAAAAUGACAACGAGGAAUUGGCUUAUGACUACUUUUUUGAAUCAAUUCCCUAGUUGGAAUCGAAGUGUCCGGUGUUUCACUCAUACUUAGAGUAGCAAUUCCCAAAGGAUUUGAAAUACAAACUAGGCAACCUAAGAGGGGGGUGAAUUAGGAAUUUAAAAUUUAAGCUAAGCAAACCACACAACAAUUUAAUCUAAUGCUUUAAUGGAAUCAAAAGUAAUAAAUUCAAUAAAGCACAAUAAUAAGAGAGUAAGGGAAAAAAACAAACAUAAUGAUUUUUACGUGGUUCGGCAAUCCUCACCUACGUCCACACCUUCAAGCUCACCCAGCUUGAAGAUUUCACUAUCCAAUCCUCACAAGACUUCAAGUUCUUUACAAUUGACUUCCAAUGUGUCAAUGGACCUUUACAAUCAAGAUAUUAUCUCCCCAAUCUCUUCACCCCAAGUGUUUAUCAUACUUGUACACUCACAAUUUGAUAAGAAAUGAAAAUUACAAUAAACAACUCUCUUUUAGAGUGGAUAUACAAAUGAUAGUUCAAUGAAGAUUUAAUUUAUGAUGAUUUGCGAAAUUGAAGCUCAAUAUAUGUUGUGUGCACUUGUUUAUGCUUGCCAAGAUUGCCAAAAAUGAAUUGAAUUUGAGUUUAUAUAGUUUCAGCCCAAAAACUAGCCGUUAUAGACUUUUUGGUGAUAACCGUCUUGGCGCUUUGUGAAUCCGCUUAGCCGUUUUUAUGUCACUGUUAUAGAAAAUAUUUGAAUUUUAGAACAUCUGGCAUGCUACUUUCGGAAUCCGAUUAACCGCUUUCAUUCCAGUGAGCUACUGCCCAUAAUCCGGCUUGCUGCUUUGUAAAAUCCGGUUAGCCACUUAGCUACAAUGGCUGCUAAAGUGAAUAUUUUUAAAUUUAUAGUUUUGACCCAAACCUUUAUAGAAUUACGCUAUGGCCCAAAACGUCAUAAAACUUUACACAAAGGUCCAAUUUUAGAAUUUCUAAAUAAUGCUUGUUACUCCCAAAACUUUUAUGAUAUUGCCCAAAAUGCUAUGAAACUUUUCAAAUAAGUCAUUCUCCAGAAUUCCAAGCAAUACUUGUUGAUUUCAAAGUUUUUAAAACUCUUUCAAUUAGACCAUAAACUUGAAAAACAAUCAAUUUUAUAAAAUUAUUUUUUAUUAAAUAUAAAACCUUUAUAAUGUGAAAAUAAUGAUUUAUUUAAAAUGUAUAAAAAUAAUUUGAGCUUUUAAAAACUUAAUCAUUCUUAAUUUUAUUUGUUAUCAUCAAAAUCAACAUUAUGGAUAUAUAAAUGUUUACAGGAUUCGCACUAGUGCCAACACCAACAUUAGAAGUGAUAACCUUGUUUGGAUAUUCUAAUUCAUAAAAUUGAAAAUCCUCAUCAAUUUCUCCAAUGCUAGGAAAUUCAUUUUCUACAAAAUUGACAUCCUAUGAUUCUAGUUCAAUCACAAUUCCACUUUCAUGUUCACCAAUGAACACAUAUCCUUUGAAGAGCUCUGAGUAUCUAAUAAAGAUACAUUUUUUACUCUUAGCUCCCAAUUUCCUAGACUUAUGGAUGGAGUUAUGAACAUAAACCACAGACCCCCAAGGUCGCAGAUGUGAUAGGUCAGGUUUCUUACCCGUCGAUAACUCAUAUGAAGUAGAACUGACUGAUUUUAAACAAACCCAAUUAAGUUUAUAGGCAGCAGUUAACAAUACAUCUCUCCAAUAUGAUAUUGAAAGAUUUGAUUACGCCAUCAUUGACCUAACCAUUUCCAACAAAGUUCUAUUCCUUUUUUUCGCCACACUAUUUUGUUGCGGAAUUUCAAGAAUAGUCAGUUGUUUAAAAGAUAUUCACGUCCUCAGUUAGUCCUUAGGACUUUAACAUUAUUGUCUAAUUGAUUCUCUAUCAUGUUUAGAUAUAAUCUAAAGCAAUCCAAUGCUUCUGAUAUGUGAGAAAUCAAGUAGACAUGACCGAAACAUGAAUAAUCAUCAAUGAAUGUUAUAAAAUAUAAGGUUCCAUGUUUAGCCCUUACAUUCAUUGGACUACAGAUGUCAGAAUGGAUUAAUUGCAAUGGUUUUUCAGCUUUAAUUCUUUUGUCCAAUGAUUUUCUAUUUGUUUUUCCAGCUAGAAAAUUCUCACAUAUGGGCAACUCAACCUUAGUGAGUGCACCCAACAUGUCCUCUCUCGCAAGUCUAUGCAUUCUUUCUUGUCCUAUGUGAUCUAAUCUAGCAUGCCAAGUAAUAUCAUAUAUCUCAUUAUUACUUGAAGAAGUAACAAAAGAAAAACAACUAUUAUCAUAACUUGAAUUAUCAAGUAUUGUAUCUAAUACAAUGAAAUCAUUAACCAAAUGCCCAGUUCCAAUAAGGAUUGAAUUUAAGAAAAUCUCAAAACAAACAUCAUGAAAGUUUAAAUUAUAUCAUAAUUCAAGAAGAACAAGAACAAAAACCAAGUUUCAUCGAAUUUCCAAUGCAUAUAGGAUAUCGUGUACAAAAGAAUACGUCUAUCACACAAAGUUAAUUUGCAGGUGUCUAUUCCUUUUACUUUAACUCUGGAGUUGUUGCCCACGUAUAUUCAUCUAAUCUGUUGACUAAUUUGACGAUACUCCACAAAUGCAUCUUGAUCAUGAGUUAUAUGGUUUAUUGCUCCCAAGUUUACAGUCUAUAUAGGAUGAGAAUUAGUUAGGAGUUCAGAACUCAUAACUAGAGCAUAAUUUAAUAAAGUGGAGUUAGGCCUCACCUUUAUUGACUCAGUGCACUCACGAGUAAAAUGACCCAGCUUGCUACAAUUGAAGCAUUUCAUAUUGAAUAUGUUCUUUUUCUUACUAGCACGCCUACCCCUUAGGCGUUUCUUAGCAUUUGACUUUUUCUUAUUAUGAUCAAAUCUCUCACUCUUCUAGUUAUACUUAUGACCCCUUUUGCGCUUGAAGCCUGAAACUUUGCGUGAACUUGACUCAGCAAUAUAAAUAUGAUUUGAAAGCUUAGCUACUUCAAGGCGCUCUACUUUCAAAUCUAGGUGAUGUUGUAUAUCAAAGUAUGUCCAACAGCCUUAAGUUCACGAAUCAUGUUUGACAUCUCCCUCAGAUGGUGCCUUAUAGUAUGAUUUUGGCAUUUCUGAUAAGAAUCAAAUUUGAUCGUAAGCCUUCUCAGUUUAGUGGUCGAAGUGCCAGUGAACUUGUCUUUUAGAGCGAGUCACAUCAUUUAAGCAGUCUCAUACUUCUCAAACUUAUACAUGAGGUCAUCUUGCAUGCUGCUUAACAUCGUUAUGCAAGCAUUGCUAUUCGUCUUUUUCUAGGCUUGGUAAGCCUCAAGAUCCCUCCUAUAUUGAGCAGUAUUGCAAUGCUCAGACUCAACUAAGGUGUAUGUUGAGAGAUUCUAGAGUCUCUUGUUCUUUAAGGAUGUGCUGAAUCUUACGGUGCCAAAUAUCAUAAUUAUCACCAUUCAGCUUCUCAUCCUUGUUUAACUCAGCCAUAAUGUUCUUAGAUGCAGAUGUCAUCUCAACUUUCUUUUAACACAUAAAUAAUUCAAAAAUACAAUCAAUAAAGGCAUCUAAUAAUUACACACAAACAAUUAAUUUUGCUGCAAACGUAAACUAAAAACAUGAUAAAUUAAUAUUAUGAAUGAAAUCAAAAAGGUCGUCGAAGCUUCCAAUCAUUAUCUAAUUCCCUUUAUUAUAUUCAUCAUUAAUUCGAUUUUAAUGCGCACAAUUAUUAGUUCUAAUCAUGAAUUCAUCAAAUGCAAUUUGAUCGGAACUCCCACUCAAUAGAAUAAUUCAUAAGAUAUCGUAAAAGUAUAUAUAGAGUCAAGCAACAACUAAUGUAGAAAUUCAAUUAGAAAAACAUAGCAACAUAUUGUUCAACCAACAAAGUGAAUAAAAACUCACAAAUGAAAGAAAAUGACCAAACAUAAUUAAACUAAUAGAUAAACUCUUCUAAAUGUUUUUAAAAUAUUUUUUGUUGCUAAUGACUCUUUCAUCCAACUUAUAAUUGAGUCUACUUCCAUAUAAAAACAAUUAUUCCUUCUUCAUGAUUUUGUUUAUGGUUUUCUCAUACCAUAAUUUUUGCCCUCUACCAAAGCGACUACCUUGUCUUCCAUUUCGAAGGCCUAUGUGAAUACUAAGUACUGAGGUUUGCCUCAUUUUUUAAGUAAGAUGGUGCUCUUCCAUCAGCUUAAUUUCACACCUCAACAUAUAAUAUGUGUUCGAGGGAUUUUCUAUCUCUUUUAACAUGCGAGCCUUAAAUAAAAGCGUAUUAUCAUCAUCAGGUAAUGAAUUUAUGAGGACCCAUUGAUAAUAAUCCCAGUUUGUAUACUUAGUAUAUACUUUUCCAUACAUUAAGCAGAUAAAAAUGCCAUAUAUAUCUUCUAUGUUCAUGCAUAUAGGACGAUCAUGGUCCAUCUUAUAAUUCUCCAUUUUUUUUCACAAGUUCUUCAUGAGAUAAGUUAUUAUUAGUCUCAAUUAGAUCCAUAAGUGAAACCUAAGCUCUAUUUGUCAUUAAUCACUCUUCCUCAAUCCAUAAUUUUCUAAUAAGAGGCAUCUAGGAAAAAUAAUAUAAAGUUCAUAUUAGUGUUUGUUAACAGGCGACUUAGUUUUGCUACAAUAUCAUACACCCCAUGCCCACAGUCGGAGAGUGGAACCCACGUGCCCCCUUUCGCGGCUCCGAUGACGUCGGGUCUGGCAUCAUCUGAUUUCAUUUUUCAUCCCGAUUCCAAUUUAGGCUUUAGAUUUUCAAUUAGAGGUCAGAAUAAGCCGAAAUCAUUAAAAAGCCGAUUAUGAUAUUGUUCAUCAUCUUCUCCAAAAUUAGGGUUUCUGAAAUUUUGUAACCCUAAUGCUACCAUAUUCGUUUCUUAGCCAUAACUUUCUCGUUUUAAGUCUGUUUUUAACAAAUUACAUAUCUUCAGAAAGCCCUUGAAAAGAUCUUUCCUAUAAUACAUAAUGAGAAUGUCAGAUUGUCUAGAUCAAAAGAUAUGAUCAAAUAAAAUUUCAGUUUCAUGUUUUUGUUAGGGUUCAUACGAACUAAACCCUAGGCCAUUUUUAUGUCUUUCAAUUCCAGAAUUUUUACAGUGAUUUUAGCAUUCGAGAACAUAAAUUUAACAGCCACCAGAUAAUACAUUUCAUGAAAAAAUAAUUAACACAUAAAGUUCAUGCAUUUUUCAUGAAAUAAAUUCAACCAUUCGCACGAAUCCAACACAAAACCAUGCUCUGAUACCAAUGAAGGGAAAAUAAAAAAUUCUAGAAAUACCUUUUUUUCUCAAAUUAAACAGCAGAGUAAUCGAGUAUUGGAUCACGUUAAUGGUCAGAAAGAAAUCACAAGCGGAAAUCCUUCGUUGAUCACAAUAUAAAUGGCCUAUUUAUGGAUUGUUCAAUGUUCUUAAUUUUAACCUUCACGAAGAAGAGAAGAAGAUGAUUUUGUAAUUUUUACGUAUCUCUACUCUUGUUCUUAUCAUUAGGGAGAGUUUAGCCAAAGUGGAGGAAGUUAAUUUAAAAUUAGCUUCCCUCUUAAUCUCCAUAAAUAAUACAUGUAACUACAUGGUAGUUACCAUGCGCGAGUCGGAUUGGGUCAGCCCAUCAUGGGUGACCCACCUAUCCAACACAGCAAGUAUUAAGUAAUCCAAGAAGCAAUUUUCUACUAUAGUUGGCACUAUUCUAGUACAUAAUUUCAAUAGUGUUGAUGUUAAACCAGUUCAAAGAAACCACUAUUACAAUUAUGGUAAUAGUAUUAUCGUUAUUAAAUUAGAAAAUUGACAACAUCUUCUUUUUAAAAUAGAAACUAGAAUAAUUAUAUUAUCAAAUAUCUUAAAAGAUAGCAAGUAGAGUGCGAUGAAAAAAUUUUAUCUAUACAAAAGCACUAGAACAAUUCAAAGUUUAUUGUCUUAUUACAAAUUUUGAGCCAUGAUAUAUCAAAGGCAACCACCUCACCAAAAGUAAUAUUAUCCAAAUAAUUUUUUGGAAAGCCUAUACAAAGAUUUCUGCCAUUGGGCCAUUAGAAUCUCCAUGCACCAUUAUCGGAGUCGACACAAUCGCCUCUAACACGAGCGUAUUAUCCCGAUCCGAGCAUCAAACCAAUUCCAUCAAAAGGUCAUUGGAAAAUAGCCUUGAGGAAGUUAAUAAAAUCUAAAAAAGAAAAGAAAAACAAAAAGGACGAAAGAAAAAUGUCGGCCAUAAAGGGAAACUCCCUCCCUGGCCAGAGACUCGAAGUUGUUGGUUGACUGCUUGCGGAUAGAAGAUGAAAAUAAAAGAUUUGCACCAUGGAUUUGCUUUUUCAGUUAUUGGAACAAUAUGUUGAAGCAACAGCAAAGGAAGUUUUUUAGAUAAAUAAUAAUUAAAUUAAAAUAUAAAGACAUAAUACAGGUUAAACUAGGUCGGGGGUGAAGUGCAGGUAUAGAAUUAAUCUCGCUUCCACAAAAAUUCAUUUCAAUUUCACCUCAUAUGAGGAAUCUCAAUAUAGGCUGAGGCAGAACUAGUUUAUGCUUGGGAUUGCCUUGACCUCUAACUUUUUGAAAUUUUUUCUGAGAAGUAAGGUAAAAAGCAAAACGUUUUUGAGAUGACACCUAACCUAUUUUUAAUCAAGCCAACCAAAAAUUUCUUAAAGUACUAACGCGCUAUUUAUUAGUAAGGGUUCGGUCUCCUUCCUGAGGACUCUUUUUCUCUCAGAAAGAGAAAUUUGGAAUGGAUGCAAAAAGUGGGGAUUGGUAUGGUCCAUUUUGUCGGUCGUAGGUUGAGUGUAUCAGCUGCUCUUACGUUACUCUGCUUUAUUAUCUAUACUAAAACAUAGUAAGAUCCAUGGUUAGGGGUUUCAAUUAGUUGGGACCAAUUCAAUCUCAAGGAAAGGUCAGAGCAGUGGCAGGUAGGUGUUGGUGUGCAAAUUAAUUUCAGGCUAAGGAAAAUUUAAAGGUUUAAAGAUGGAUACUGAAGAGUUAAUACGGAAAUGUAAAGCUAUAACUUUAAAAGAAGAAGAAGCAGAAAAGAUUAGCUUUACAGGAAAUAUGAAGAAAAAAGGGAAAAAACUUGCAGGCGCUGCCUCAUUGGGAAGAUUUUGCUUUCGAGAAAAGUGAACACAGAAGGGUUGAGAAUGGCAAUGCAGCAAGUGCGGAAAUCGGUACAGAAAUCAAAGUAGAUAAUUUGGGAGACAACAUUUCUGUUUUCAAGUUUCCUUCUGAAGCUGAAAAGAAAAUGAUCUUAUAGGGGGGCCUUGGCAUUUUAAUAAAGCCCUUAUGGUGUUUACAGAACCAAGCGGUAUGGAGGAUAUAAAAAAAAACAAUCUUUCCAGUACACAUCCUUAUGGGUCCAGUUAAAUAACGUUCCACCAAUGUGUAUGGAGAAAGAUGCGAUUCAAGAAACAGAUGAGAAAAUUGGAAAGGGGGAUGAAGUUAAAAACAACGAGUCAGGGGAGUGUAUUGGAUUUUUUGUUCAAGUCCGAAUCUAAGUGGAUAUAACACAACCUCUCGACAAGGUAUUUACAUUGGAAUUAGAGAAUGGAGAAAACAUUCUGAUACCAGUCCACUAGGAGAAGUUGCCUGAGUUUUGUUUUUGUUGCGGACUCAUUAGCCAUCGAUAUAGACUAUGCUUAAGCUACAAGGGGCAGCCAAAAAAAAAACAAUUGGCUUUUGGAGCUUGGUUGAAGGCGUUAACAGAAGCUGAGAGAGUUAGGCAGAACAGAAACUGAGAUCGAUGGAACAGAGAAGCAAGUCAACCAAACUCUGGUCACCAGAAUCAACUCCAACACAAGCAGAGUCCAAUCAACCCGAGUGUGGAAAGCGGAUCCAGGUCAAACCAAAACAACCUAGGAAAGCCAAAACACCAAUGAGGGACGAGAAUGUAAAAGAGGUAGGUAAGGGCUCAUUAAUGCAAGGAAAUGCAGAGGUUAUGCAGUAGGGUCUAGAUGGCAAAAAGCCUGCCAAUGUAUUUGACAAGGAGUUGAUAUCUAGGAGAUGAGCAAAGCAGCGGGAAAGCUUGAAAGGCAAGAAAUUGAUUCAGCAAUUAAAAAAUGGGAGUUGGGUUUAACUGGGUCCAACAAUGUGACAAAAGAAGAAAUAGGCUAGCAAGUAUUGAGUAGAGGAGCCGAAGUAACUGGGUAGGAAAAAGCUAUAAAAAGGGUAAAAAAUAAAAGAGUGGGGCUAUCGGCACCCCUCUGAUAUCCUUUUCAAACCCCUUUUCUAUUUAUUUCCUCCUCAAUUCCUAAAAUAAUCAUUUUUCCACAAACAAUUUCAACCUCCUUUCAGUUAUCACUCUUCAACCACUCCCACUUCAAGUUUCUUCUUUUUGUAGGAAAGGCUGUUGAUAACAACCCAAUAUUUUGUAUCCCAUGCGCUUAAUUUAUUAUGAGGUUUCUAUUUGUUUUAAUUUUAUACUUUUCAGUUUAUGACAAUAUUCUAUUUCAAAAUAAAUAUGUAUAAAAUACACACAAGGUUUAUUUAUCUCCUAGCAUUCUAAUAACGUUGGUAAUUUAUGAAAAUUUUAUAAAAUUAUCUUUCCUAGAAAAAUAAAUUGUUAAGUGAAAAAAAUACUUUAUAUCAAAUUCUUACUCUUUUACAAUUUUUUUUUUGGAAAAAAAAUUGUAACUUUUAAGAGCUUUAGUGAAGAAAGAGUCGGUGAGAAAAAUCAUAUAUAGAUUUAAUAAGAUAAGAUUUUACAACUAAUACAAUUCAAGACAUAAGAGAUAAAGCUGUAAAUGUAUAAUAAGAGGGGCUUUAUAAGAAAAAUGCAGGGUGCCAAUAGCGUCACUCAAAAUAAAAAUUCUGAGCAUAGGGAGAGACAAAAAAGAGUGAGGUGGAAGCUGCGCCAAUCUCCUUAAAAAGGCCCAUUGAAGAAGCAUUAAACCCAAGCCCUAUACCCAAGCCCAGGAAAUGAGAAAGCAAAGAUAGGAAGCCCAAAUGUCACGCGGGUAAAUCAGAUUCAAAUGUCAUAUCCAUUUGCAAAACUUAAGCUGGUGAGGAAGGAAGCAACAUAGGAGGCUAUAGACAUUCAGAUGGUUAUUUUGGAUAAGUUAUUGGUGGAGGCUGGAGACCUACCCCACCGACAGCCAUGAAAAUUAUAAGCUGGAACUUCAGAGUUUGGGGAAUUCUUAAACACACUUAGCCAUUAUGAAAAUUCUCCACCUGUACAAAUCUCAAUUAAUUUUUCUUUGUGAGACUUGUUAACAUAUAUGUAUUCAUAAUGUUGAUUUUGAUGAUAACAAAUAAGAUUAAGAAUUAUUAAUCUUUUAAAAGCUCAAAUUAUUUUUUAUACAUUUUAAAUAAAUCAUUAUUUUCACAUUAUAAAGGUUUUAUACUCAAUGGAAAAAUGAUUUUAUGAAAUUGGUUAUUUUUCAAUUCAUGAUCUAAUUAUAAUUUUUUUGAGAACUUUGAAAUCAACAAGUAUUACUUGAAAUUCUGGAAAUGGACUUGUUUGAAAAUUUUAAUAAAGUUUUAGGCUAUAGUAUAAUUAAAAAAAGUUUUGAGGUAAAAUUAUAAUUUUAGAAAAUAGUUUCACUGUAGCAAACGGCAAUCCGACAUCGACAAUUUGAAUUUUGGCACAACGCUCACUCGCUCAAGUCAAAACAGCAAUCCAAUAAUGCUUAACGGCGAUCUGACUUUGUACAGAAAGUCAAUAAUGGAUAGUUUUUAGCUCCAACUAUAAAAGGGUUGCAUUAGAUCCAAAUCAAAGUGAAUUCAAUGAAUACCAGAGAGCAUAUUAUUGAGAAUACAAUGUUUCUUGAGCUUUAAUUUGUUCAUUAAUUCUUUAAAUCACAUCUUGGGCAUAUAUUUGUAAACAUAUAGAUUGUGUGUGAGAAAAAUCUUGUAUUUCAAAAAGUGUGAGUAUGGGAAACACUUGGGUUAAGAGAUUUGGAAUAAUCUCUUGUUGUAAAGGUUGAUUGAGACCUGUGAAGUCAAUUGUAAAAGUUCUUGAAGCCUUAGAGGCUUGGAUAGUGGAAUCCUCAAGCCCGGUGAGCAUGGAGGCGUGGACGUAGGCGGGGUUGGCUGAACCACGUAAAAAUCUUUGUGUUUGAAUCUCUCUUCCCUUAUCUCUUUACAUUUUGAUUGGUUUAUUUAUUAUUGUUUUAAAUUUGUUUAAGAUUUGCAUUAAGUUUUGUUCAAGCAUUGCAUAAUUUUUAGAAACUCAAUUCAUUCCCCCUUUUGGGUUGCAUAACUAGUAUUUCAAGACUAAAUUGAGAUCUAGGCGCGUUAAUGUUGUGUGUAAGGAGUUAGGUAUUGAGAAUUAUUUAACUGUGGAUUGCAAAUGAAAAAUUGAAGCAUUAACUAUGUUGUGGAGUUCAAAGAUUGCAGUCAAAAUAACAUAAUAUGGUAGUCGUCAUAUAGAUGCAGAGAUUCAAAAUACAAAUGAGAGAAGAUGGAGAUGAACUGGAAUAUAUGGUCACCCUAAAGCUAGUGGUCUGUGCAAUCUUUAAUGCUAUGGGUGUCAAUGUGCAAGUGUACAUAACAAGUAACAUACUGAUGAGUAUUCAAAUCAUCUCCAUAGGAAUUGAUGUUAUCAAAUUUGAUAGAGUAAUCUUAAUAUGCAAUUUUGUUCUAAAUUAAAAUAAAACAAUUUUAUCAAACUAAUAACUAAUUAAAAUAAAAAUGCAAUAAAAAAAAUUCUCACGUCAAACACAAGGAUGUAACCAAUGGUAAUAAAGUAGUUGAGUGAAUAAACUCACUUAAUGGCAUUGACUAUUUUUCAAUUACAGUACCGUUGCUACAGCAUCUACUAGAGCAAUGGGCAGAAUCCCUCAUGUAUCCUCAGUUGUCAUCUGUUGGAUAUUUUAUACCUAAUGCAACCUAAUAGUGAUAAAUUGUUACGCCAACAUUAAAUAUAGCAUUAAGCAAUCUAGGUUUCAUUUACCCUGUAAGGUGAAUCUAUAUGUCUAGUUCAUCACUAAUUUUAAAUCAAGUAUGACCCUAUUCAAAUUGAGAUUAACUCAACUUGGGAAACUCAAUCUAAAACUAAGUAUUGUCUUAAUUAGAUCUACUAAGUCAAACCUUUUUUAGGCUUUUUCUUAGUUAGUAUCCUUAAAUGGGUGGUCAGACGAAAUAAAGAAUAAAAUAAAUACAAUUAAGACAAAAUGUUAUAGCAAACACAGAGCAGCGCCCGUAUAUUAGUCAAACAUCCAUUAAGUUCGUUUAUUACUCAAUUGUAAUCAAAUUCAGUUCAUGAUUUGUUAAAGAAAAAUAAACAAAAGAGUUUUUACCAUCAAAUACAUCCCCAUGAAUAAAUAGAAAACAAGAAAAGAAUAAGAAGAAUUGAUUUCCAAUUGAUCUCUAUGAUUUCUCCUCUGUCAGCCUUCAAUCUCUCUCUUGAUUUCUGCUUUUCUUGUGCUUUUCUCUCCAGUUUAUUCCUUUGAGGAUGACUCUCUCUUUUUCUUUGCAUGUGUGCUCCUUUUAUGGCUUAGAAUUAAGGCACCCAGAAGUCUAAGUCUUCCAUUUGUGGAAACUCCAGAUCAUAAUCUUCUAAAUAUCUCGCGCGGAAUCUUCUCUAUCAAUACUCUAGGAUUGCUAUAGUAAUGACUACUGCAUGUUACUUAAAAUUUAAACUUCCGGUCACUUACAAUUAUGCAUAUAAUCUAAGCACAAAUUAAUCUAAAACAAACUAAAUUUAUUAAAAAUAAACUAAAAUGGAUGUUCAUGCAAAAUAUAACAAAAUGCAAUAAAAACAUGUCAUUUACUCUCUAAGUAUUACUGAUUCAAGUCUAAAAGUGUUAUGAUAACUCUCAUUUUAUAAAGUUAUCAACUAGUCAAAAGAACCAUACUUGGACCUUUUUAAGAAGGUUGCCAAGUUUGUCUACAUGCCCUUGGCUUUGUUUCAGAGACUUUAAUGAGAUCUUGAAUUUAAAUGAGAAAAUUGUGGGCUUAGAUAGAGAUGGUAGGAUGGUUGCUGAUUCUAGGGAAUGUGUCAAAAACAAUAAGCACGUAGAUGUAAGAUGUAAAGGGCACCUUUUUACUUAGUCUAAUAAACGGUUUGGACCUCACUACAUAAAGAAGAAAUUAGAUAGAUUCAUGUGCAACCAGGAGUGGAGAUCUAAAUUUUAUGAUUGGUUGGCAACAAAUUUAAUACAUGGGGAAUCAGAUCAUUGCCUAUUAAGAUGGUGGCUCAAGAUAGGCAUAAAAAGUCUUCACUAUAAAAGGAGAACCUUCACUAGAGUUUAUUACAAGGAUUUAUAAAGUUCAUAUAAAGACUGCAAAAAUAUUAUGAAGAAUGAAUGGCUUAAAUGGAGAAAUGGAAGGGAAGAUAAUCCUAUUCAGAUUCUCAAGAAGAUUAUCGAAAGCUCUAUGGCAAUAGCUGUAGAUAUGGAGCAAGGAAGAUUUUGGCGGUAGAGAGAAAAAGCUUAAGGAGCUAAUGAGGAAGCUAAAAAUAGUGAAGCAAUGCAAUUUUCAGUAUGAAGAUGGGGUUUAAAUAAGAAUCAUUGAGCUAUAGAUUAAAACUAUGUUGAUUUAUGAGGAGAUGUACUGGAAACAUUUUGAUGGCUGAUUAGUUAAUAGAGAAAGACAAAAAUAUGAAAUUUUUUUCAUUAUAAAGUUACAACUAGAAUAAAAUUUAAGGCGUUGAAGAUAAUUUUAGGCAAUGGACAAAAGAUAAUGAAGAAGUAGAAAGGAUUUUGUGAGUGUUUUCAAGAACUCUUUACUACUUCCAACCUAAGACAAGAACAAAUUUUUACAGCCUUCGAGGAAUUGAUACAGAUUAAAAAUUUAUAUUAUACUAGGAUAUGUUUCCUAACUAACUAAGGUUUAGGACUUUUUAAUUUCCUUUCCAAUUUAGAAUUUUGUUUCCUUUUCAAUUUAGAAUUUUGUUUUCCUUCAUAAUUUAGGAUAAUUACUACUACUAUAAAUAGCUCCCUCUUGUAGCAUUUGAAGGCAUAUUCGAUUUCAAAAAUAUUUUCAAUUUUUAAAACUCUUUGUGAGUAUUUGAACAGUUAAUUCUCGGUAUUCUGCGGAAUCAACGAGUCUUAAUCCCUAAAUUCGCGAUAUUCUUUUUGAAUCAAUGUGAAUUUAGUUAUUCUUUUAUUCCGGUAUUCUCUAGAAUCAACAGAAUAUUUUGAACAUUAAACUUCUGCUGCAUCAGAUUCAUAUCAGAGCCAAAACCUAGUAUCACCAAUCUAAUCCCAUUUACAACCAAACCUUUCCUUUUUCCCUUUUUGAUUUUUUUCCCUUUAGCUUUAUAAAAAAAAAAAAAAAACCGAAACAGAAGUAAAAAAAAAAAAUUUCAGCCCGCGACCACCGUCCAAGGCUGCCGGCUUUAGUUUUCUGUCACCAAUCCGAACAUAACCACCACCAUACACAUCAUAAAGCAUCGACCGUCAAACCUUAUACAUCUUCCACCGCCGAUUAGCCACAUAAUGCUAGAAAAAUCGCCAAAAUAGCUGCGAUUCAACCGCCGUCGUUCACUAGUUUUCGCCUCGUUUUGACCGUCAUCACCACCACCAAUAAAAUCAUCUCCAUCAGUUGAACCUCUCUCACCUCUGAUUGACGUACCGAUCGUCGGAAAUCAAAACAACAACAAACUCGCAACAUUUAUCUCCAAUUUUCGGCAAAAUCACCACCUUUUUAGGUAGACCACCACUACCACCAUCACACUCACUGAACAGAAAUCUUCUAGAUCCACCCAUCCUUGCUCAAUUUUCGACCACCGUCACCAGAAAUCUAAAAUUUUUACUUAAUUAGAGUUUCAGCCUAAAAUUUUAUUUAGUUUUCAGUUUAACCCCAUUACUUUUUAAAACCCUAAUUUGAAAAAUGCCCCCAAGAAAAACUUGUGAUGCUAAUGCUACAACUUACAAUCAAGAUGAUGUUUCUAAAGAUGGAGCUCUGGCUAGCAUAAUAGCCAGAAUUGAUAUGUUAAUUGCACAAAUGGCACAAAUGGCGGAGUUACUUGACGAAUGACAUCGUACACCGAAACACGAAGACAAGUCAAGUGAAAGCUUUGCUAACCCAUUCUCCGGCCGUAGGCAUAGAUCUAAGUCUACUGAUGACAAAAGAUGGGAAUCUGGGUUGAGAAUUGAUUUUCUUAAAUUCUAGGGAAGUGGUCGACCUGAAGAAUUAUUAGAUUUGAUUAAUGUCAUUGAAGAAGUUUUCGAAUACAAGGAAGUCCCUAAUAAUAAACUAGUUUCACUUGCUGCAACUCGAUUCUAUGGAAGAGCGACAACUUGGUGGCAACCAAUGAAGCUAACACGGAUAAGGCAAGGUAAAAAGAAGACUGACUCUUGGGAAAAGUUGAAGAAGCCUUUGCGUGGAGCAUUCGUAACUCAAAAUUACGCCAAAUUGUUAUACCAAUAGUUACAUAAUUUAAGACAGGGUAAUCGAUCAGUAGAUGAUUACACUACAGAGUUUCAUUGGUUGGUAGCGCGAAAUGACCUAACAGAGACAGAAGAACAACAGGUUUUCUGCUAUAUUGGAGGCUUACGAUCCUAGUUUCAAGACUAGUUGAGUUUACUUGAUCCAUACUCUGCCUCAGAAGCACACCAACAACCUUUGCAGUUGGAGAAGCAAUUUAUUCGGCAUACUAAUGACUCAAAAUUUCGGGGUCCUCAAAGUGUUGUUCGUGAUAAUUCAAACCCGACUUCCUAAUUUCACAAUUUCACUCCUCCUAAUCCUCUAAAUAAAACUAGUAAAUCUUGUGAAAACGGUCAACACAGCAAAACCCUUCAUCGAAUGACAGAAUGCAAAAAAAGAGGAAAAUAUGGUAAAAGCUUAUUCGUAGGCACUGAGGAAAGUGAAGACUACCAGGAGGAAGAAACUGAAGAGUUUGUUGAAGAGCCAUUUUUUUAUAGUAGUAGUAACACACAAUCCGUUGAAGAACAUGGUGACAACGGACCAAUGUUGAUUGUGAACCGCACAUUCUUCACUCCUAAAGGUCAAGACAAAGACAAGUGGCUACGAUAAAAUAUUUUUCAGACUACUUGCACACUUGGGGGAAAAGUAUGUCGUAUGGUCAUAGACUCAGGCAAUUGCGGGAAUGUUAUUUCAGAAGAAGUUAUAACAAAGCUAAAUUUAAAGACAGAACCUCAUCAAACUCCAUACAAGCUCAGAUGGCUGAAGAAAGGCAAUCAAGUAACAAUAUCUAAACAUUGCUUAGUUUCCUUAUCCAUUGGAUCAAUUUAUAAAGAUCAAAUUUGGUGUGAUGUUGUGGCUAUGGAUGCUUGUCAUUUAUUAUUGGGCAGACCUUGGCAAUAUGAUCGAAACGUAGUGCAUGAUGGGAAAAGAAAUACUUACAGCUUCGUGUUUAACAACACUAAGAUUGUUCUUCUACUUAACAAGGAGAUCACUGUCAAACAGGACUUGGGUAAUUAUUUGAUAGGUAAGAAGCAGUUUAUAGAUGUUAUAACAAAGAAAAAAAAAGGUUUAUAUUUUAUUAGGAAAAGAGAGCCAUAAUAAUUCGAAAAUUCAUAAAGUUGUGACACUUAUACUGGAGGAAUUUCAAGAUUUGUUCCUUAACGAGCUACCACAGGGUUUACCACCUCUUCGGGAUAUACAACAUCAAAUUAAUUUGGUAUCAGGAUCUACAAUACCAAAUCGACCUCAUUAUCGUAUGAGUCCUACAGAAUAUGAGGAAUUAAGGCGCUAAGUGGAAGAGUUACUAGAAAAGAGAUUUAUAUGUGAAAGUCCCUAUGCAGUCCCUACUUUGUUGACUCCAAAGAAAUAUAGUUCUUGGAGAAUAUGCAUGGAUAGUCGAGCUAUCAAUAAAAUUACAGUUCGAUAUUGUUAGACCAACUCAGUGGAGCAGCAGUUUUUACCAAACUUGAUUUAAAAAGUGGCUACCAUCACAUUCGAAUAUGGCCUGGAGAUGAAUGGAAAACAACCUUUAAAACUUGCGAAGGGUUAUACGAGUGGUUGGUAAUGCCGUUUGGCUUAUCCAAUACUCCAAGCACUUUCAUGCGAGUUAUGAAUCAAAUUCUUCGCCCUUUCAUUGGAAAGUUUGUGGUUGUUUACUUCGAUGAUAUACUUAUAUAUAGUACCAGCCACGAGUUGCAUUUACAACAUUUAAGAGAAGUACUUUUAGCCUUAAGAGCAGCAAGUUUAUACACAUUAGUAAACAAGUGUAUUUUUUGACAGAGAGAGUAUUAUUUUUGGGAUAUGUGGUGUCGAAGGAUGGUAUAUCCGUUGAUCAAUCGAAACUGGAUGCUAUUCGAGAUUGGCCAACACCAAUAACUUUAUCUGCAAUAAGAAGUUUCCAUGGAUUGGUAUCUUUUUUUAUAGAUGAUUUAUUCCUCAUUUUAGUACUAUUAUGGCACUAAUCACGGAUUGCAUGAAAGGGGGACAAUUCUCGUGGACAGAAGCAGCUAUUAAGGCAUUCGAGAUUAUCAAAGAGAAGUUGAUUAUGGCUCCAGUACUCGCCCUACCAGACUUCUGUAUCACUUUUGAGGUGCAUCGUGUUGCGUCCAAAGUAUGUGUUAAUACAUUGGUGACAUUAUCUAAUUCAUAAAGACUUUGUUUCAUAUACUGAUCAUGCUGUAUUAAAGCAUCUCAAUAGUUAAGAUAAGUUCUCUCACAAGCAUGCCACGUGGACAACAUUCCUUCAACAAUUUACUUUUGUGGUAAGGCAUACCUCUAGUGAAUCCAACCGGGUAGCAGAUGCACUUAGUCGAUGAACUUAACACAAAUGCAUCAUCAGGUCCUUCGAUUUAACACAUUUCAAGAGUUAUAUGCUACCGACCCUUUCUUUGCUCCUUUAUUAAAAGACAUUGCUGUAGGGUUCUACCCAGAUUAUCAUUUAUAUGAUGGAUUCCUUUUCAAGGGUAAUCAGUUAUAUGUUCUUGACUCAAGUAUGAGACUGAAGAUUAUUGCAAAGUUACAUAAUGAAGGGCAUAUAGGUCGUGACAAAACUUUAACUCUAAUAGCCAACACUUAUUUUUGGCUUACUAUGAGGCGUGAUGUCUAUCAUUAUGUCAAGACUUGUCGCAUUUGUCAAGUUGCCUAGGGUACCGCAACUAAUGCUGGGUUAUAUAUACUACUGCCGAUUCCAACAUAACCUUAAGCUAACAUUAGCAUGUAUUUUAUUUUGGUAUUACCCCGCACUCAGAGGGGUAUGGAUUCAAUAUUUAUUGUUGUGGAUCGGUUCUCGAAAAUGGCUCACUUUAUUGCCUGUAAGAAGACUACAGAUGCCUUGACUGUUGCUCGUCUAUUCUUCAAGGAAGUUUAUAGAUUGCAUAGCUAUAGUAUCUGACUGGGAUCCACGAUUUCUUAGCCAUUUUUUGAAGACAUUACGGAAGUUGACUAACACUUACUUGAAUUUUGGAAGUGUUUAUCACCCACAAACAGAUGGUCAAACUAAAGUUGUCAACCAUUUUUUAGGAAACCAUCUAAGUAGUCUAGUUGGCGAUAACCUAAAGACAUGGGAUUAGAAGUUAUACCAAGUUGAGUUUGCUUAUAACCGAGCAGUUAAGUGUAGUACUGGUUUAAGCCAUUUUCAAGUGAAUCGCGGAUAAAAUCCACGAGCUCCCAUCGACUUAGCUCUAGUUCCGGAUUUAGUUCGCAAAAGCAGCAAGGCAGAAGAUUUUAUUGAGCAGCUUAAGAAGAUUCAUGCAGCUGCGCAAGAGUCUUUGAAGAAGACUACCUAAGGUUAUAAAAUUGUGGCAAACAAAAAGCGUCGACCUUUAAAAUUUCAAGUGGGAGAUAUUGUUUGGGCUGUCCUAACCAAAAAUAGGUUCUCCGUUGGAAAGUACAACAAGCUUUCUGCUAGGAAAAUCGGACCUUUAGAGAUUAUCGAGAAAAUAAAUCCUAAUACAUACAGAUUGAAGCUUACUAGUGAUAUCCACACCGCAGAUGUGUUCGAUGUCAAGCAUCUUAUUCCUUACAGAGGUGAUCAUGAUGAAGAUGGUAUUACUGACAAUCCAAAUUCGAGGGCGAAUUCUCUCCAUCCUUGGGGAAUGAUGUAGAUUAGGAAUUUAUAUUAUACUAAGAUAUGUUUCCUAAUUAACUAAGGUUUAGGACGUUUUAAUUUCCUUUCCAAUUUAGAAUUUUGUUUCCUUAGGAUAAUUACUACUACUAUAAAUAACUCCCUCUUGUAGCCUUUGAAGGCAUAUUUGAUUUCAAUAAUAUUUUCAAUUUUUAAAUCUCUUUGUGAGUAUUUGAACAAUUAAUUCUCGGUAUUCUGCGGAAUCAACAAGUCUUAACCCCUAAAUUCACGGUAUUCUUUUUUAAUCAACGUGAAUUUAGUUAUUUUUUUAUUCUAGUAUUCUUUAGAAUCAACAGAAUAUUUUGAACAAUAAACUUUUACUAUAUCAGAAACGCUUUCAAAGACAACUUCAAAAUUAAAUGGCUAAUUAGAUCAGCCAUUUACAGUUGCAGAAAUCACAACAACCCUUUUUUGGAUGUGCCCAACAAAAUCUCCUAUCAAGAUGGCUUACCAAUUGUAUUUUUUCAAAAGGAUUGGGAUGUGGUUGGAAAUGGUGUUCUCAAGACCCGCUUGAUUGUUCUCAACAAGCAAGGUACUGUAGCUUCUCUAAGUAAUGCAUAUAUUACUUUAAUUUCUAAGACUACUAAGCCUAGAAAAACUAUUGAAUUUAGAUCUAUUAGCAUCUAUAAUGUUAUCUACAGAAUCAUUGCUAAAGCCACAGUGAAUAGGUUAAAAUAAAUCCUCCACCAAAUUAUUUCUUUGACUCAAAGUGCUUUCAUACCAAAUCAGCUAAUCACUGACAACAUUAUUAUUGGAUAUGAAUCUUUUCAAAAAAUUAGACUUAGUAAGAGAAAUAAAAAUGGCUUGUUACCUUUAAUGCUUGACAUAAGCAAGGCUUUUGAUAGAGUGGAAUGGUCUUUCUUAAAGCAAGUUAUGGAGAGGUUAAACUUUUCUGAUAAAUGGAUGGCUUUCACUACUACAAAAAUGUUAAACAAUGACGCAUAUGUUAUGACGGUUCUUUUUAAAAACUGUCAUUAAAUAUCUUUAAUGACGGUUAUUAUUUGAACCGUCAUAAUAUGUAGUACUAAUAAUGACUGUUAUGUAAUAGAACCGUCAUUAAAUGUCAAGCAAAAUCUACACUUAAUUUUAAUGACGGUUCGUUUAUAAAAACCGUGAUUAAAACUUACCAUUUUUAAUGACGGUUCUUAUACACAACGGUCAUUAUAUGUGUAGUUAAAAAUAAUCUUAUUUUUAAUGACGGUUUUUAAAUACAACGGUCAUUAUAUGUGUAGUUAAAAUGUCUUGAUUUUUAAUGACGGUUUUUCCAUAAAACAGUCAUUGUAUGCGUAUUAAAAAAUAUUCUUAAUUUUCAUGACGGUACUAAAAGAACCGUCAUUAAAAGUUAUAAUUUUUAAUGACGGUUUUUAAAUACAACAGUCAUUAUAUGUGUAGUUAAAAUGUCUUAAUUUUUAAUGACAGUUUUUACAUAAAACGGUCAUUGUAUGUGUAGUAAAAAAAUUUCUUAAUUUUAAUGACGGUUCUAAAAGAACCAUCAUUAAAAGUUAUAAUUUUUAAUGAUAAUUUUUAAUGACUGUUGUUAUAUAUAACGGUCAUUAUACAUCUCAAAUUAAUGACGGUUAUUAUAGAACCGUCAUUGAGAUAUAUAUAUCCCAAAUUAACCGGCCCUAUACUAAACACCAAAUCCCUAAAAUUACAGAUAAUUUCUUAACUCUAAAAGCACGCACGCACGCAACCCUGUUCUCUCAGCAGCACACCCGCCGUCGGCACACUUAGCCCGUGCAGUAGUAACCGAGCAUGGCAGCACCAGGCCACCAGCAGCCGCCCUUUCUUUCACCAUGCUCUCAUGCACACAUAGCAGCAGGCCAGCACCAGCAGCCCCUCUCUCUCAUGCUUGCUCUCUACUAUGUCGGAGUCAACACUGUACCCCUCUUACCCAAGAAAACUCUAACCCAUAUCCAAACCCUUGCCGUCGAAGAAAACCCAAUCAUUAACUGCUUGAAAUUAAAGCCUUCACUGUCAAUCACCAUCGAACCAGAUAAACCCUAGCCUCGCCAUCACUCGCCGUUUCACUCACUGAAGAAAACACUCUACCAUGUGAGUCUCUGUUGUUCGAUAAUAUAUGUGCAUCGCCUGAGAUUUUGAUUUACUUACUUAAAUUAAUAAAAUUUGAAUGUUGAUCUUCUUUGUUGCCCGAAGCUGUCACAUGACCACUUUGAUUCACCGCUUCGAUUGGUUUGGUUCUCUAUGAUUAAGUAAUGAAUUACUUACUUUUAAUUUCAUAUUUUCCUAUCUAACUGUGAUUUUGGGAGUCGGUUUCUUGGUUGGAUUUGUAAUUUUUGAUGCAGAUCAAAAACAUCUUGAAGGUGUUUGUUUCAUUGUCGUAAUCCUUAAUCCUUUUGUGCAAUAAUUUCUUCAAUGGAUUUGAUUACUUGAUUUGUUUACUCUAUUUAUUUAUUUUUCUUAUAUUGUUGUCUGUUGGUUAAGGGAAUCUUUUGUGUUGUGGUAAUGGAAAAUGAUUCCAUUAUCUCUCGCCAUGGUUUUUGUUUUGCAAUUUUUCUGUAGGUUUGCUGUCAAAAUAGCUGCUAGAAGUUUACAAUGGCUGUUUUACUGCUUUUCUGCAGUGAAACAGCCCUUGGUAAUUUGCAGGGGCUGUUUUCACUACAAAACAGCAGCAAAACAGCCCCUGCAGAUUUCUAUUGGUUGUUUUCACUGCAGAACAGUAGCAAAACAACUGCUGGAAAUCUGCAGGUGUUGAUUAGUUGCUGUUCUACAGUCAAAAAGGCUCCUAGAAAUUUUUUGGUCUACUUUGUAUUGAAAAUAUUUUGGAAGAUUGUCGAGGAAGGAGGGGAAUGAGAGCAGUAGUUUUUUAGAAGGCUUGAUGAUGAGUUUGAUAAAUUUGACAAGUUUUACUGGACUGAAGUGAAAGAAAAUUAUGCUUAGGUUGAAAGUUUGAGUAAGCAAAUGGAUGCUUUGAUUGCUUUCAAGAUAAAAACUAAGGAAUUGGAAGGAGUGAUUUAGGAUUCUAUACAAUUUGAGCCUAAAGAACAAAAGCAUGAAAGCAAGUUGAUUUUUAAACUUGUUGUUGGUUAUUGCUUUCCUUGUUUCUAUUUCUCGGUAGUUUGAAACUAAUUCAUUUUCUUAAAUUAGCUUUCAAACAACUUUCUUCAUUUUAGUUCAUUCAAAAUUAUUAGUUCUAUCAAUAAUAUGACUUCAUUAAUGCAGAUUAUGUAGAAGACAACAAAGCAACUGCAUAUUUUGACGCCAAUGGUCUCCUCUUCUUUGCUGAAUAGUUAAAUGAUUUGACAAAAUACAAGCUGUAUCAGGUGACUUUUGCAGUUUGUGCUUUAAUUGCCUGUAUGGCGUUACAACUAUACUACUCACCAUUCACAUCUACAAUGGUCAUAUAUUUAUGUAUCUACAAUCCAUUCUCAUGUUUAUGAGUUCUGAACAUGAGUUUUGAAAAUAUUUUUAGAUAUGCACUCAUAUCAGGGUGCCUAUAGAGUCUUCUAAUUGUUUAGCUUAUAGUGUAUACGUGUUAAUGCUCUUGGACGACUAAAUUGGGAUACUAUAUUAAAUUAAUAUAGUACAAGCAUAUGAAUGUGCAAACGUAAUAAAUUUACUCUUUCAAAAUUUCAGUUUAGCAGAUGGUGGUGAUUUUUAGGAUCUUUCUAAUCAUAUAUUCUUUCAAAAUUCUAUAGGUCAAGAAUUUACAAUAAAGUUUGGUGACAUUCAUUGAAUUGAUGGGCCAUAUGAAGAGGUUAAAUUCCUAGACCUUAAAACUUAGGUCCAUCCUUUUAAUUUAUUUACUUUGGCAGCUUAUAUUAAUUUGAUAGCAAUAAUUCAUUUAGCGCUUGUUGAAAGAAACCAUGGGAAGACAGAUAAAUGCUUAUUCUAUGAUUUUUAUAGUUUAAUUUAUUAAAAUUUCAUGAAAUGAGAAGUUCGAGCAUUUAAAUUAUUUGACAUAUGAUCAGCUUGUUUGAACUCUCUUCAUCUCUUAAAUUAAAAUUACGUUGAGGCUAAUUACUUGCACUAUUAUUUUUGUUUUAUGUGGUGCCUAGAAUUGGUUUUGCUACUGUAUUACAAAGAAAACAACACUCAAAAAACGUUUCUUUUUAUUUUCUUUUUUUAUUUUGUUACUUCUUUGCUCUUUAUCUUCUUGCUAAUUGUUUUUUCUUGGGUUGUUUUUGUUUUUCCCUUUGGCUAUAAAUAGAUAUAAUUUUUCAAGGCAGCAAGCAAGCAUGUUAUUAAGUCGAAGAUAUAUUGAAGAUAUAGUGAAGAGAUAAAAGGAAUUAUCAAAUCUUUUUGUAUAACUAACUUUUGAUAUGAAACAUUUGUAGAACGUACAAUUGUAAAAAACUUAUAGAUACUGUAAUUGAAAUUGGGGCUUGAAAUGAUUAUUGUAAAUAUUUAUUUUUUUAAAAUUAACAUGCUAAAGAUGACGGUUAUUAUGUAAGAACCGUCAUUAAAUAUAAGUAUAUUUACUAUAAAAGAUGACGGUUAUGAAUAAAAACCGUCAUAAAAAAUUAAUGGAAAAGUGCAAUAGAUGACUGUUAUUUAAAGAACCGUCAUUAAAUGUGAUUUUUAAUGACGGUUUUUUCUUAAAAACCGUCAUUAAAGCUCUAGUAUGUAUAACUAAUAAUGACUGUUUUGUAAAAUAACCGUCAUUAUAAAUAUACAUUUAAUGACGGUUUUUUCUUAAAAACUGUUAUUAAAGCUCUAGUACAUAUGAUAUAUAAUGACCGUUUAUUAAAAUAACUGUCAUUAUAUGUAUAUAUUUAAUGACGGUUUUUGAACCGUCAUAAAAAGUAUGCCCCUUUUAAUGUCGUUGCCUAAGAUGACAGUUUUGUCAUUUAAAACCGUCAUUAAAGACCAAUUUUGUAGUAGUGAAAUUUGAUCAUGAACUAUAUUUUUACCACCACUUUCUCUGUCAUAUAAAUAGCGUUGCUAAAGCUUAAUUCGGCCUCAAAGAGGCCUUUGACAGGGAUGUACCCUAUCUCUAUAGUUAUCCAUCAUAUGUGUAGAGGUUUUUUUCAAAUCUUUUGUUACAGGGAGAAAGACAAAGUUGAAUUCAUAGGCUGAGAUUUUCUAGAGAUAUCAUUCUUUCUUCUCUUCUUUUUGCUGAUGAUAGACUUAUAUUCACAAGGGAUACUAUUGAAAAGUGCAAACGUUUGUAGUCAAUAUUUGAUUGCUAUUCUUCUACAUUAGGCUAGGUGUUUAAUUAUGAAAAAUCAUCAAUAUCCUUUAGUGGUCAGAUUUAGGGGGGACGAACUAUAGCAAUAAAGAACAUAUUUCAACUUAAUAUGGUGUCUAAGCAUGAAAAAUACCUAGGGCUACCCUCAAUGAUAAGAAGGAAAAGGACAAGUUUCUUUAAUGAUAUCAAACUCAAAGUUUUGAGUAAGUUAACUAACUAGCAUCACAAGUUUUUUUCUAGUGAAGGUAAAAAAAAAUACUAACAAAAGUUGUAGCUCAAGCUGUUCCUACAUAUGUAAUGAGUGGUUUUAAAAUUCCUAUGCGGUUGUGUAACGAUAUCCAGAGAAAAAUGACUAGAUUUUAGAGGGGCUUUAAGGAAAACGAAAGGGGAUGCGCUGGACAAAAUGGGAGAAGAUGAGCUACGCUAAAUAUAGAGGAGGCACGAGAUUUAGAGACAUCUCUAAUUUUAGUCAAGUGUUGAUCGAAAGGCAAAGAUGGGGGAUAACUCAACAUCCUGAUUCUUAGGUGGUAAAAGUAUUAAAAGUUAAAUACUUCAAGAAUUCUCAUUUCCUCAAGGCUAAGACAAGUUCUAGCCUAUCUUUUGUUUGUACAUCAUGGGGCAGACAAGUUCUUCAACAAGGUAUUAGAUAGAGAGUUGGGGACAUAAACAAAAUUAAAGUUUAGUCUAGUAAUUGGUUACCUAGGCCAAUGACUUAUAAGCCAAUUGUGAAAUCAAAGUUGCCUGAUGAUAUUAGAGUUUUUAAACUAAUUGAUUCUAAUCACAGGUGAGAUAAAGCUUUUAUUCACAAGAACUUUGCUGCAGAUGAUGCUGAAGCCAUCAAGACAACUUUCUUACUGAGCAAGCCCACGAGGAUGAGGUGCUCUAGCACUUUGACAAAAAGAGGAUUUAUUAUGUUGAAAGUGUACACCAAUUGGCUCUCAAGCUUAGGUUCCCUAAAAGUCUCAGUUGUUCAACCUUUGACCCUCAAGGUUGGCGAACAAACUAAAAGUUAAGUACCCCGUGAUUGACACUAAAAAGUGUACAUUUAAUAAGGAUAAAAUUAUUAGUUUUUUACUUAUUGUGUCGAUUAAUGCACUCAUUAUUCCUAAGUUAUCUUAAUACUUUCCAAAUAUAAUUUUAUGUUAAAUUAAUUGUAAUAUGUUAAUUUAAUUUUAAUUUUAUAUUGUAAAUAUAUUUCAAGAAUAAAAAAGAGUUGAAAUUGGAAGUUGGAACAAAGAAUAAUUGUUGGAGCCAUUUGAAAAUCAUUAUUGAGGAAGUGUAAUUAAAAAAUCAAAAUAAAAAAAGUGAGCAAUCAUGUUGAUGAUGGUCAGGAGGCCAUUAUGCCACAUGUCCAUCACACUUCUCAAUGUACAUUUAUAUUAUAAAAAUAAAAUAAAAUAAACAAAAUAAAUAAAGAAGGAUGCAUUCCUUGCCUAUAAAAGGUAAUGAGAUGUAGGAGAGAGGAGAGAGAGAGGAGAGAGCGAAGCUGAGGAAUCGUUUUUUAUUUUUUCUUCUUUUUCUUGUUUUGUUGUGUAAUCAAUUUUCUUUUAAUAUAUUUCAAAAGUUUAUCAAAUAAAAAGAGAUUUUUUUUUCUUUCAAUAUGAGUAGUUAAUUUUAUUAAGCUGAGGUGAAGGGUGAAGCUCAAGAUUUCAAGUUCUUAAAUUUAUUACUUUCUCAAGUGAGUUUUAAGUUUAUUUUAUUCUUUUCUGGUUAUUUUAAUGUCAUGUUAAUUUAUAGAUUUUCUUGGAUCUAUAUGGUAUUUUGACAUAAUGUUGACACAUUAAUACAUUUGUGGCACAUUAGGUAUUUUAUUCCAUAUUUAUCUACACACAUAGUUAGUUAAGAAUUAAAUAAUAUAAUAAUUAACUAGUAAUAGUUAGGAAAAAUAUAAAAAAAAUGAGAGAGUAUUAAAAUUAUAGUUUGAAUAUUAAGAGUGAAUCUUGUAACCUUAGCAUAAUUUUAAAUUGAUUCCUAGUAAUUUUUUCCCCCAAUUAAUUUUUUUAUUUAACAAAUUGAUUACUAGAUUUUAAAGGUUAAAAAAAGUCAAAGUUUUUUUAAUGGAAAGCUUAAAAAAGCUUGCUACCAAUUGUGGAAAACUUGUAGAAAAGAAAAGUUGUGCAAGAACCUAUUUGUCAUAUCUAUAAAAAGAAAAGUUCCUCAUGCUUUUUUGGACUGCAAAUUUGCCAAGAAAAUGUAAAGGUACACACAUCUUACUGCAGAAAUUUGAAAAGAAGUUACUAAGUUAGGCAGAAUACUUUUAGUAUGCUGCAAAGUUUGAUAAAAAGCUAACUAUCAAGGAGGUUGAACUAGUAACUUUAGUGUUGUGGGUGGUGCGGAAUGCAAGAAACAAAUAUAUUUUUUAGAGAAAGAUGAUUAGUAUUAAAAAUUGUUUAAUUAUCAAGCGAUAAUAAUAUUAUUUUGUACUUAUGUUAUAAUUUAUAUUUGUGUUUAUGUAAUAUAUUAGGAAUUAUUAAUUAUGUUUUAAAUAUAUCUAAUUUUGUGUAUUUUUGUGUUUAUUAGGUAAAAUAUUAAUUCUACGUAAUUUGAGGCUCCAAACAGAUAAACUGAGGUCAAAUUUGGAUUCCGGAGGUCUGAAAAUCUUAAGAUCAAUCAAGAUCGGCUUAAAAUUGGGCUUGUAUAAAAAGAGUUGACUUUUCCUGUUGACGGAGCACUAAUUGGAUGAUGAAAUGAGCUUACAAUAGAUAUGAGUGCAUGGGAUAGCUGGCAAUUUUGACUAAAUCUCAACCGUUCAUGAUUCAAUGGCCAUAAUUGUGCCACGUGGCAAUGAUUGGUGAAGCAAGUUGUAGGAUCCAAAUCUUUGUAUUCGGGUCGACCCGAUCCACUCAUUAACCCGCCAAAUCUCAACCGUUCUUUGGCCAAAUCGGACGGGUCAAAUGAUGCCACGUGUGAUGUUGACUUUGAAGUUUGAUCAGCUGUUGGAUCUUGAUCUAAUGGUUGUGAGGAGCACAUGCAUGAAGCUUAUGAUGAAUCGCAAAACACUGGAUUAUGAAUUUAUUUUUCUAUAAAUAGAGCCUCAUUUUUAUGUUUUUAAUCAUCUCUCUACAACUCUCUUCUUCUCAAAUUCUCUCCAUCUCCCUGUAAUCUUGAUUUUCAAGUGUGUUUUUAAUAUUUUGUAUAAUUAUUUUUAUAAAUAAAAUUAAUUUUAUUUUCAAUUUUAGUUGUUUUUAUUACUUUUAAUUAUAAUUAAUUAAAUUUUAAUAUUUCUUUUUAUUUCAAUUAUGCUUAACUAAAUAAUAUUACUUAGGGUAAGAUGAAACUCUUAGGAAAUAAAUAUGAUUUAAUCAAAUUCUAUUUUUAAUUUUAUAAAUUAAAUUAUUUUCAAUUUAAUUUUAUACAUAUUUUAUAUUUUGAAAUUUUGAUUUAUUGUAGACAAACAAAUGAAUUUGGCACAAUAAAUUCUUAAUAUCUUAAUAUAAGGUAUGGUAAAAUGAUAUUUUGACUUAUUGUAGACAAAUUAAAUUUUGGCACAAUAAAUACUUAAUCCAUCAUAAAAUUAAAGAGAAAAUAAUAAUAAUUUAUAUAAUUAAUCUUUUGGGCAAUAAAUCUAAAAAAAAGGCUAAAAGAAUUUAUCAAGUUUUAUUUACUACUAAGAGUGGAUCCACAACCCUAAUUAGUUCAAUUUUAUAGUUUCAUUUAAAUUAAGUUGUUUAUAUUCAAGUUUUAAUUUCAAUUUUUAGUUAAAAUAAAAUAAACAAAUUAAAUCUUUUCUCCGUGGAUCGACCUCGGACUCACCGAGUUAUAAUACAACAAAACACUCUUAUACUUGGGAGUUAAAAAGUAUUUUUAAGUUGUGUCAAAAGAACCCAGAUCCCGCCAUAUCAAUAGCAAAGGCCACUGUAAUUAUGAAAGCCUAUCAAAAAGUCAAGAAGCUUGAACAGCAGCAACUUGAGCAAGGAAAGUCUGGAAAACAACAUGACUGGAAGCCUCCACCAAACGGCUGGUACAAGAUCAAUAUGGAUGCUGCUAUCGAUAACAAUUUGCAUAUUGGAGGCUUUGCGGUUGUUAUUAAAGACUCAUCUAAGAAGGUUACAGAAGCAGCUGCCAAAAGCAUAAGUUUUGAUGGUGAUGUUCCUUUUGCAGAAGCUGAGGUUUACAAGUAGCUAAAACUGCUGGACUCUCAUCUGUGAUCAUUGAAUGUGAUUGUUUAAAGGUAGUUGAGUUAGUCAAUAAUAGAAAAGGCAGGAGGACUGAGAUAUUUUGGCCUAUUUCAGAUAUUUCACAGCAGCAGUUGAAAAGAUUUCCCAGCAGUUAGAUGUCAACAUGUUCAUAGGUCUUGUAAUGAUAUUGCUCAUAAUUUAGCUAAGAGAGCUAUAAGAACUGGUGAAACUGUUAUCUGGUAAAAACGUUCCCUAGGUGAUGUACUGUCUUUAAUUUCGGUUUAAUGAUAGAAAGUAUUUCUUUCGUUUGAAAAAAAAGAUUGCAAUAUAUUAACGGCAACUCCUAACUUAAAAUUCUGGUUCUACUGCUGCAUAUGAGGCCCCAAAAUUAUGGAAGAUUUUGCUAUCCUUAAUUCCUUAUAGUGUACUAUCAACAAAAGUUGUGUUUUCAUAUUAGUAGCAAAGAUUUAAAUGGUUAUCAACAUAAUACUACGAGAAAAUUGUAAAAAAGAAAUCACUUGAUGUUGGACAAAUUAAUAGUACAAAAAAAUUAUUUACAAGGUAAUAAGUACUAUCAAUCUGAUGAAAAAACUUAUUUACGAUGGAGUGCUAUAGCUGUAGUGUCCACCAUCAUAAUAUCUCCAAAUAUUUGAUUUCUCUUAAUUAGAACCUUGAUGUUGUAUACUACACGGCUUUAAUUGCUUAGACACUAAGCAAUAUAUUCCAAAAUACCUUUACGGUCGGCUCUCCAUUAUUUACUUUGUGCAAUUUUUUCGAAACCCUAGGACAGCAUCCCUAAAAUUGGCUCCAAGUUGCUAAGGUUACGUGGAUUCAUAUAUGUUAGAAUUGGCACCCAUAGUAGGUUGGACGGAGCCAACAUAAAGAACAAUUUAGAAACUUCUAAUAGAUUCUAUAUAAUUGUUGUAAGUCUAAUUGGACUCUAAUUAAGAGUUAUAAAGUCUUAUGGUUGACUUCUAUCACUUUCAUGAGCUUCUACCACUUUUAUGAGCUUUUACAUAAACACGUCUAUUGUAUUUAAAAUAUGUGAGACAUGAGAUAUACGUAGAACAUUUUAAAAAUUCAAACAGACUUACCAAAAGUGUGGGUGUGUAAAGACGAGAGAAAAAGUCUUUGGGCGCUUGCACUGUAAUUUGAGGAGAUUUUCAUCUCUAUGAUUCCCCUCGGACCAUAAGCAUACAGUGAAAUGAGGAUAUUCCUUGUAAUCAUCUUCUAUCUUUAUUCAAAUUGACAAUGACAUAAUCUCGUUGUAAUUCGCUUCCGCGUUCAAGGAUUAAAAUGGACGCUUUUGGAUCUACCAUUAAUAAUAUGUUGAAUAUGCAAAAUAUCAACACAUUUAUUUUUUUUUGAUACAAAAAGGGCUAAGAUAUCAACACAUUUAUUUUAUAUUGAAUAUGCACGAAUAUCAACAAUAUAGGAGUAUGUUUCCUUUAGCCAUAAGGAUUAGGGUUUGACCCCUUGCUUAACCUAUAAACAAAGCCUUCUAUCACCAUUCACGCAUAAUUCAUUCAAUCAUCAAUCAACUUCCCAACAAGCUACCCUCGACCAGCAUUCAUUAGUUGCUUUUGAUCAUCAUUGUUUUGUCCUUGAUCAACUAAAUAAGUGAGAGGGAGGAAAAACAAGUUUAAAAAUAUAUAUUUUUUUAAGUUUCAAUAAGGAUAAUUUUGAAAAUAGAUAACGUUAAUUGAAAAGUGAGGUUGCUUAUGAAAAUUGAGAAGUCAAAUAUUACCACCUUAUUUCAGUAGGUUUGCAUGCCAACAUCCAAUUAAAUCCAUCACUCAAAUGCAAUAAUUUAACAAAAGAGAGUGGAAUUAUUAACGCCCUCGUAGAAAAUUCUUAGAACCCUUAUUCUCAAUUAACCAUUUUUCUCAAUUAACUCCAUUAAAAUAUUAAAAAUAGUUAUACAAUUUCAUAACACCUCAUUUAUUCCCAAAAUAAGCCUAAUUAAUUAAAAAAAGAAAACUAUCAUCAAUCCCCAAUAAUGACGUAAAAUUCUUACCUAUACUAAACUCAUGUAAUAUUUUUCCGGCAAUUCCAGUAGAAACAACCCUUAAAGAGUGCUAUGCACCACUCUAACAGUUCAGUGAUGGUGGGUUCAAGCUCACAUUCAAAUGGAGUUACUGAAAACUCUUUACUUAAACUUCACAGCGGAGCUUACAGUUUUAAGAAUCCUUACCGCAAAUUCUUCAGAGUUUUACAGCUGUUUGGAGUGUUCAUUUUUUUUUUUUAAUGAUAGCAAGGAGUAUUCACUCAAAUCAAAUUAUGAGAGUUUUUUUUUAAUGUCUUUUUAGGUAAUUUCAGUUAUGGGUGAAAAUAUAAAUACAAAACUGGAGUUUUAGCAAAUUUCUAAGCAGGUGCCAAUAGUCUAAUUCAAAAAAAAAAAAUUGCACCAACCACAUAACCACAUAAUUUAACGGACAUUGUACAAUGGAAAUUAAAACUCCAUUACUUCAUUCACAUUAGUUUACAAAUGGACGUUUCUAACAAAGAUAGGUGACAUGGCAAAAUUAUAACCUAGGACAACAUGUUGAACAAAAUAUAUCCUUCAAAACAGGAACCUGAAGCAGAGCAAUUACAACCGUUGGCACGAAUGCAACUAGGCCCGAAAGCACAACGAUCCAAUUUACUCCAUGAUCAUAAGCUAAGAAAAAGGUUGAGAAAAAAGCUACCAUCACGAAUACAAUAGACACGAAGAGCGCCGAAAGUCCACCUAGCAGCUUAAGCGGUAACGACAUUAGAAAAUCAUCUUCUGCAAAUUGUGAUGUGAGGAUGGACAAAAAGAAAAGUACGGAGAUUAUAGAGCAGGAGAAUGCGAUUGCGUCUGCUAUUGCAAAGACCUGAAACCAAUUCUCUCUAAGAUGAAUGGGUAGUCCUGUUUUAUCAUCCUUACCACCCGGCACUGUGAAGGCUGCUGCAAAUACCAUUGUAGCCACAAGUGUUCCAACAAUCAUACUUGAACUGGCUCUGCUCUUCAUCCAUUGUUCUCCUCUUCUCAACAACUCCAAAUGCUCCACAGUGAAUAAUUCUCUAGGUGUUUUUCCGUCAUAAUUUUUCAUUUCUUUAUAAGAAGGUUGCACGAUCAUUUCAACCUCCUGCCAUUAUAAAAUAAUAUUAUUAACACUAAUAACUUGCAUUGAAUCUUCAUAAGGCUAGUAUCGAAUAUCAUAGGAAAAUUAGGAAAUUGGGAAAUGAAUUUUUAUUUUUAUUUUUUACCUUAUAUAUUAGUAACUCUCGUUGCAUUUCUAGAGCUGCACCAGACACGGUUCUGUACGGACUUGUAGUUGGAUAUUUUGCAGCCAGAUGCAGUAUGUUAUUUCCACAGCUAUCUAAAUAGGUUGCUAAAAGCUGCUUAUUGAAGCCUUGCUCGUAGAUUAGAUUGAAUAUAUUCAUAUGACGAUGCAAAAUGGCAACGUGAAAUAUGCUGCGACCAUUUUCAUCUAAUUCAUGAACCAA
rnacentral:lncRNA from 1 species